UUCGGAAGCUACCGGCAUGGUUUCUAACAAUCUAUUACUUGAAGUAGGGAAAUAUUGCUUUCAACAUAGAAUAUGCAACCUUGUAUCCACUUGCUAAAACAUUUAGAAUCAUAUUUACACAAGUACCAGAAAGAACCUUCACAUAUUUGCCACAAAAAUGUUAUGUUCCCUCAAAUUGAAGACUUAGUAGCAGACUUCUCUGUCGCGAAAAUACAUAACCUAAAAGGCAUCCCUAAAAUUUGAAUUGAUGUUGUGCCAACACUUGAUUAGUUCACUAUUUCAGUUCUCCAACUCAAUAGUCCUGGCAUACAUUCUUGUAGAUCAUAUUCCACCAAGGCUUGGACAAAUGGGAACAAAUCACGGAUUUGAACCUGAGACUCAUGGUUCCCAAUUCACUUCAUCGAUUACUAGGCCAAACCCUUGGUGCUAGGUUUUUACUUUUCAUUGAUGAGCUUCUAGCUGGCCCUGUUUCUCUUGUUGAAAAAUUACUAGCCAUGGUAAUACAGUAAGCCUGUGCAGUAUUCAUAUUGUCAAAUCUGUGGUCUGUCCUACGCUGCCAUACACCAGAUGGGCUGAAUACUCAUAUUGGCAAAUACUCGCCUGCAUAUCCUUCACCAAGACAUUAUGGAUUCUGCCUCCACACUCGCCCGCAUAUCAUAUUGAUUUAGCUUCAUCCUAGGCCCAACUACCCCAAGGCAUGAGGGAUAGCUCAUAACUGGUAUAUGGAGCUGUUAACAUAGUAGUGUAGUACACGUCUCAAUGACCUCUCUCCAAUCUUACUAAAUUCUCUUAUUUUGGAUCAGUCCAAUUUCACAAUAAGUCCUUUACGGAAGAAAAAAUAAUAUUAAUAACAACAAACAAGAAAGGAGUAGGAAGAAAAUUAAUCAAAUAAUAAAGUUGAAGUCUCCAAAAUGCCUUCAAACAUGACGGAGAAAUGAAAAAUCUCAUUGUACCCUGGAUUGAAAAGAGAAAAGCAUAAGGAGUAGUAGGAAACCUCUUUUCAUGAAUAUAAUCAUAUGCCUUUGAAUGCGCAAUUGCUAUCCAGUUCAUGGUCUGAUUGAAGACACCUGUAGGUAAAGCAGAAGUAGCAACCUCCAGCAUAUCAGGAUUACCACCAGGCCAGGCACCAGCACAGUAAGUGAGCAUACAAAAGACAUGAGGCUCGUUAAAAGUAAUCCAAUAGUCCACUAUAUCUGCAACAGAAUCAACAACAAGCCUGUGCGAAAUACAUAUCCAUUAGUUCACGGGAGAGUAGCACUUGCAAGCACAUUACAGUGACAAAACGUGAAUGCAUAAAAUUGUGCUGCUUGACAAAGUGCUUUACAUGUGAUCGUUCAAAAUUGCUACUAAAUGAUACAUAAUUAAAAAGAGGCUGUUAGCAAACAGGGUGACAUGCAGAAUUUUAAUUCACUUAAUCAGUGAAAUAAUCAUCAUCAUACCAAUAGUAUGGAUCAUCAUCACUAUCCACAUAUGAAUAGUAAUGAAUGGAUCAUUGUUCUUGAACAAGAUGAUCUAUAAUUUUUUCAAGAAUUCUUUAUUGUAAAAUCUUUAUUUAAUUUUAUCAACUUUAAGAUGGUGAUUAAUGUUUUUCCAUCUAAGAAAAUUGUAUAAUAACCCAUUAGGCAGUAUAAAGAACAAAUUUCUCUAUUAAAACCUUGUAACUUUGAUACCGAAAAACCUGUGUUUCUUUUUGAAUAUAAGCUCUGUGCAGAGCGUCAAAUAAUUUUUGUUUUAAUCUGUUAAUUUCAGAAAUAUUUGAAGUAUUUUUCAAACGAUAGAUUUUUCUAAGAUAGUAUCUCAUUUUUGUUAUAUCUUUGUUAAGAGUUUCUAUAAUUGUUUUGGAUCCCCAAAACCUUUUUCUGAGUUUCUUUAAUUGUUGUUGUAACACUCUCAUGAUGAUAUGGAUAGAUAAUUCAUGAUUUGAUAUUCCCUAUAGGUACUUAGUAACAUAUAAUAUGUAUGAGUAUAUAAGGUAGAUAUGAAGACAAAUUUUUCUUAUGCUAAUAUGUUCAUGGAUGAUAGAGUUUAAGUAUAUAUCUUUUCACUUUCUUUUUAUAUUGGUUGUAUAAACACCGCAGUGUUUCUCCUUCUGGCUAUGAAGAACUAUCUAGCCUAUUGCGACUCACUGUCUGAGGCUACUGUUUCGUUCUUCCUCCGUUGAGGCUGAAGAUCGCAACCUUCAUUUCUCACCGACAUAUAAGAUUAUCAAAAAAUAUACAAAUAAACUUAUUUUAUUUCAUGAAUAUAUUGCAACAUAGGAAAAUCUUUAGUUAGAUCUUCCUUAUAUUCACAUACAAACUAUUUGUUACUUUUUGUUGACGGGAGAAGUGUUCCUUACUCACUUAUAUAGAACUUAUAUAGAAGAUACCUAACAUUUUCUAAGAAAGAAAGAUUCAGAGAAAUGCAGUCUCUCUUCUAUGACUUUCUAUCUCUCCUUUUAUAAACACUUUUAUAGACACAAAGAGGGAUAGAAUUACAAUAUUUAUUUUCUUCAGGGUUAUCCCUUCAAAAUCUUUAUUUCUCUUCUAGUCCCUUAUCCGGAUAAGAUUUUUCUUUUUCUUGAUUGGCUGCUUUUAGACCGUGGGGUCUAAUCUUCUUUAUCAUUUUAUCGUCUGGUGCCGACAAUUUAUGUUGACGUAAGUGCUUUUUCUUUACGUCUUUUCUUCCAUUCUUGGCUUCUUUUUACAGCUGUAAAUCACAUCUCUUUAGACAUCGAUGAGCUAUCGCCAUCGUUUCUUUUGAGGUGUCCAUGUUCUAAGAAUUUGCACGCCAUAGUCCAUGUUUUUGGAGUGGCUGUAAAUUGGUGUGUUUCAAACUCAGUAAUUUUGUCCCUUAAGACUACUGAUUUCGACUUUCCUUAGGUCAUUAGUACUUAGUGUGUAUCUCUGUUGAGGACUUUAUAAUUUUCUUCAUAUUUAUUUUUAAGGAUGUUGUAUACUGACUUCAUCCCUAAGGCUCUUCUGGUUUGGAUCUAUUUUUUAUUAAAAUAAGGAAUUUUUUAUAAACUCCAGUUGCGUAGAUAUUAAAAAUUUCUUAAUUUUUCCACCGUUAUAUAAUUAGUCAUGGGAAAAUAUAGUUGAUCAUCUUGAGAUUCCAUUGCUAUGCUGUAGAAUCUGCAAUAGACUGCUUCCUCUUCGGCAUAAUUUCUGAUAGAACUAGUCAAAUGUAUUGGUAGUCCUUCAAAUUCAGAUAGAUCUAGUUUAGAAUAAAGACAGUCUAAGUAUCCAAAUUCAAAUAACUUGGCCGUGAAACUCUCUGAUCCUCCUGGAAAGAUUGAAAUCCUUGGAUAUAAACUUUUUGUCUCAAUGACUCCGAAAGUUUCUCCACAGACUUCUGGCAGAUUGUAAAUUUAUUUUGUAAACAUUAGAUACUCUUCUUCUUUGGGAUGGAUUUUUCCUACCUGAAAAGAAGCAAACUGUUUUCCUGCAGAGAAGUUAGUUCUUUUUUCUAAUUUUUCAGAGGUUAUUUCAGUUUUUAUUGAUUUUACUAUUUCAGAGAAAUUUCUAUGUGCUCGGCUUUUAGCUUUGUCCAAAGACUUCGUCAUCGGCAUAUCCGGCUUUAUCGUCGAGAUGUUUUUGGCACUAGGUGCUAGUGGGACAUCUCCUGCCACUUUGUUAGGGAAUUUUCCCUGUGCUCGGCGUUUAGCUUCGUCGAAGACUCCGCUAUCGGCAUAUCCGGCUUUACCGUCGAGAUGUUUUUCGCACUAGGUGCUAGUGAGACAUCUCUUGCCACUUUGUUAGGGAAUUCUCAUCCCUUGGCUCUGGUUUCCAGAUGUUCGCAAAGAAGCUGGAAUUCUGCCAUAUUUUCAGCUUGAUCAGUGUUAAGCCGACUUAAUUCAAAUUGUAAUUUCUAUGCCUUUUCAGACAAGGAUACAAGUUCGUCUCGAAUGCUAAACAACAUGUUGCUCUUUUCAUUUAUGGCUUUGUCAAUGUCAUUCAUUUUUUGCCAUAUUCUGCUGACCAAUACCUGAGUUCUAUUGUCCAUAUUGGACGUUUCUUGAAAGAAAAUCUGCAAAAACAUUGUCAGAUCCUUUAAUAUUUUCAAUUUUGAAAGUACAAAAUGACAAUAAUACCUAUCAUCUGUGUAGCCUUCUGUAUUGGGGUUCUGAAGGUAGUUUAUUAAAUAUCAAUCCUAAUAUUUGUGUAUUGUCUGUUUUAACAAUAAAUGGUUUUGGUAAUAAAAAUGAGGAAAACUUUCGUAUUCCUUUUAUUGCUGCCAAUAAUUCUUUUUCAUUUGUGGAAUAAUUAACUUUGGCUUCGUUAAAUGUUCCACUAGUAUAUCUACAGAUUUCAUUUAAAUCUGUUUGUAACAAUGCUCCCCAAUGAUAGUUGGAGGCAUCAGUCUGUAGAACCAAAUUAUCUUCUGGUUCUGGUAAUCUAAGUUUUGGUAGCUUAGCACAUUCUUCUUUUAAUUUUUGAACACAAAAGUAUGUUCAUUAGUCCAUCUAAGUCGAUUUGACUUUCGAAUGAGUUUUUGCAAAGGAUUUCUCUGUUUUGCAGAUCUGGGAUAAAUUCACCUGCAUAGUUCUAUAUUGCUUGUUUCGUUGUUAGUUUAUCAGGAAAUUCAGUUAUUUUCUUUGAAAUAUGAGUUUGUAAUUUUAUCCCUUUUUUUGAAAUUAUCAUUCCUAAGAAUUCUAUUUCAUUUUUGCUUAUUUCAGCCUUUUUGGGGCUUAAAACAAUUCCAUUUUUGACACAAAUGUUUGAAAAAUCUUUCAUGUGUUGAGUGUUCUUGGUAGUUUUUUUAACAAACCAAAAUAUCAUUUAUGUAAACUUUCCAUUUUUCAUUGAAAAAUUUGUGGUGCAUUUUUUAAUCCAAAUGGCAUUACUAACCAUUCAUAAUGUCCAUUAGGAGUGCUAAAUGCUAUUAGAGGGAUUGAUUCCGCUAAAAGUUUAAUUUACCAAAAAACAUUUUUACAAUCAAAUUUGGAAAAAGUAGGUUUUUUCCUUUAGCAAGUUAAUUAAAUUAUUUUUAUUUGGAAUAAAAUAUCCAUCAAAAAUACAAUUUUUAUUUAGCUCUUUAUAGUUUAUAACCAUUCGAGCUUUUUCUCUUUUUUAUUCUGCAUGGUUUCUUACCAUAAAUGCAGGACUGUUGUGUGGACUCCUGCUUGCUCUUAUUAAUUUAAGAUUAAGGAGAUCUUGUAUCUAAAUUUUAAAUUCAGUUUUAUCUUCUUCGUUUUAAAGCAUUGGUUUAACUCUUAUGAUGAUACUAGGAUCUUUAAGAAAAGACUGCUUUUUCGUGGUUAUUAUUCCAUUUUUCUAUUAAUAGAGAAAUUUGUUCUUUAUAAUGCCUAGUGGGUUAUUAUACAAUUUUCUAAUGGGUUUUCUCCGUAAGAGACUUGUAAAUCUUGUUUUAUUUUCUCUAGAUUGAGACUUUUAACAAGAGUAGUUUUUAGGGGUAUCAAAAAAUUUCUUUUUAAAGAUUCUCUUUUCUUUUAUCAAAAUAUAAGGAUUGUGUUUUCUUGGAAUUUUUAUAAAUAGAUUACAUAGGGUUUUAAAACUAACCAUGUAUAUUGUUUGAUGAUAAUUUUGAAACUGUUGUAUAAAGUCAUUUCCCAGUAAUAAAUCAGUUUCAAGUUUAUCAUAUGCAAAAACAUGUUUUAUAAAAACAAUUUUAGAUCCUAAAAUUAUUUCUACAUCAUGCGUUAGUCUCUCCUUGACUCCUGUAAUACCAAUGACAGAGGUAUUAACAUUAUUAAUAUCCCAAUUUUUUAUUAAAAAGGAUUUUGCUAGACUGGCUUCGGAGCCAUUAUCUAUUUGAUAACAUGAAGUCAGUCUUGUUUCGUAGGUUAUAAAUUCCACAAAUACUGAUACUCUAAAGGUGGUUUCUUUAGGCAUUAAAUUUUAGGAAUAAAACAAGUUUCAUCUCCUAAAGGUAUUUGGAUUCCUUCUUUUUGGAUAUUAUAUUUGUUAAUAGAACUUUAUUGAAGGGAAGAAAGGCUAAGGUUUACAAUAUAAUCUGAAAAGCAUAAAACUGACUAAAGCACUAUAUAUACAUAGCCAAUAACCUAAAGGUCCAUAAACUAAAGGCCCAAUAACAUAUGGGCUAACAUCCCCCCUCAAACUCACAAUGCAACAGCAAUAAGCAUUGAGAGUGUGUCACACAAAAAACGAAAUCGAGAUGCCGACUGAGCCUUCGUAAAAAGGUCAGCAAUCUGCAAAGACGAUGGAACAAAAGGAAGCGAUAUGGUCCCGAGCUGUAAAUGAUGACGGGUGAAGUGACAAUCAAUCUCAAUGUGCUUCGUACGCUCAUGGAAGACAGAAUUCUUUGCAAUUUGUACCGCACUUUUGUUAUCACAAUGCAGGGGAGUAGGCAUAGAAAUGUGAACCCCCAUAUCUGCAAGAAGCCAACGUAACCAAAUAAUCUCACAUGUAGUCACAGCCAUAGCACGAUACUCAGCCUCCGUGGAAGAUCUAGAGACAACAUCUUGUUUCUUGCUCUUCCACGAGAUUAAAGAGUCUCCAAGAAACACACAAAAACCAGUGGUGGAUUUACGAUCAUUGCGAUCUCCAUCCCAAUCAGCAUCACUAUAGGCUCGCAACUCGAGAGAUGACGUCGAGGGAAACAAGAGAUUCUGAAACUGAGUGCCACGAAGAUACCUUAGAAUACGAAGUACAGCUCCCCAGUGCACAGAAGUAGGAGCAGUAACAAACUGGCUAACAACAUGAACUGCAUGUGCUAUAUCUGGACGAGUAACCGUAAGAUAAACCAAACUACCCACAAUAGUCCGAUAAAGACUCGGAUCUGAUAAUGGAACACCAUCACUAGGAGAGUAACGUGCAUUGGUUUCAAGGGGAGUAUCUACAGUCCUGUUGUCAGAAAGACGCGCCCGUGUAAACAAGUCAGAUAUAUACUUAGUCUGAGAAAGAAGAUACCCUUUCUUAGACUGAGCCACCUCAAUACCCAGAAAAUAACGCAGCAAGCCCAAGUCCUUCAUUGCAAAUCGAUGAGCCAAAUCAUGCUUCAAUAACUCAAUACCACUAUGAUCAUCACCAGUAAUAAUCAUAUCAUCUACAUAUAAGGACAAUAGAAUUCGCCCUGCACUUGUACAUCUAACAAACAAUGCUGAAUCAUGGUUACUCGGGACAAAUCCAAGGGAAGUAAUAACAGUGGAGAAUUUCUCAAACCAAGCACGAGGGGCUUGUUUGAGACCAUAUAAAGCUUUUCGAAGCCGACAAACUUCACCUGGCUGGUGGUCAAUACCUGGGGGAGGAGUCAUAUAAACUUCCGCGUGGAGAUCACCAUUCAGAAAAGCAUUCUUGACAUCCAUCUGAAAUAUCUUCCACUGUCGAACGGAUGCAACAGCAAUCAUAGUGCGAACAGUCGUCAUCUUUGCUACGGGGGAAAAAGUCUCCUCAUAAUCCAUACCAUAUUGUUGUGAAUACCCUUUUGCCACAAGUCUUGCCUUGUAUCGCUCAACAGACCCAUCAGAUUUUGUUUUUAUCUUAUACACCCAUCGACAACCAAUCGCAUGCUUACCAGGUGGGAGAGUAACCAAAUCCCAUGUAUGUGUAUGAUGAAGAGCAGCAAGUUCCUCAGCCAUAGCAUUCUGCCAAAGAGGAUCAGACACAGCCUCUCUAUACGACUCAGGUUCAGACAAAUGAUGUAUGUUUGCAAUAAAGGAAGCAAAUGAGGCUGAAUAUGUAGAAUAGUAAAAAUCUGGCAGUUUGGUGGACUUACAAGGUCGAGUAGACCUCCUCAGAGGUGGUGGGUCUCCAGUCUCAACAGUCGAAGGAGCAGACUCAGGCACAGGCGAGGCUGAAGCACUAUCAGGUGGCACACCAGAUGGCAUGGAUGAAUCCGGAACUGGAACCUCUAUGUCAAUCCCAAAGGGAUCAAUAAGCCGAAUAUCUGACUUUGUCACAUCAUGGGUUUUAGCUGGAAUGGAAUAAAAAGGAAUAUGUUCCAAAAAAGUGACAUGUCGUGAAACAUAUAAUUUCUGACUUACAGGAUCAUAGCAACGAUAUCCUUUUUGUCCAAUACCAUACCCCAAAAACACACAUAUAGCUGAUUUUGACCCUAACUUAUUUCGUUCAACAUGAGGACGAAGAACAAAGCAAGUACAUCCAAAAACUCGUAAUGCAGAAUAAUUCGGCGGGUGACCAUAUAGUUUCUCAAACGGAGACAUCCCUGAAGUCAAUGCAGUAGGAAUACGAUUAAUCACAUAUACAGCAGUUAGAACUGCUUCUCCCCAAAAAAUACUAGGAACCUCUGCAGACAAAAGUAAAGAGCGUGCUGUCUCAACAAUAUGACGAUGUUUUCUUUCUGCCAGACCGUUCUGCUCAGGAGUGUCGGUACAAGAUGACUGGUGUAUGGUACCAUCAGAGGCAAGUAACUGAGUGAAGUCAUUAGAGGUAUAUUCACCCCCUAAGUCACACCUGAAACACUUUAUCACAGCCGAAUGUUGUGUUUUAACAAGGGCUCUAAAGUUGUUGUAAAUGCCAAAGAAAUCAGAUCUGCGUUUCAUAAGAUACACCCAGGUAUAACGAGUAUAGUCAUCUAUAAACGAAACAUAAUAGGUCGAUCCACCCUUAGUGGAUACUGGCGCUGGUCCCCAUACAUCAGAAUGAAUAAUAUCAAAAGGAGCAACAGAAUAAGACACACUUUUAUUAAACGGUAAGGCAGAAAAUUUUGCCAGUUUACAACCACUACAAUCUGAAAUAUCACUAGUGUUCACAUGACCCAAAGCACCACUAGAGACCAAAAAACGUAAACGUGAAACUGACACAUGUCCUAAUCUGGAAUGCCAAAGAUAAAACUGAGAAGACAAAGGACUCAAACGAAAAGAAGAUAAAUCUAUGCUAGAGGCAGCAACUACAGACACUUUGAGAUUCUCCAAGACAUAGAGUUCCCCCAACCUACGGCCGGUCCCAAUCACCCUCUGAGUGUGUUGGUCCUGUAUAACACAAACAGAAUCAGAAAAAAACACCCAAUUACCAGCCUUACACAACUGACUGACCGAAACAAGAUUUAAAGCAAGUUUGGGAAUGUAAUAAACAUCAGAGAGGACAAUGUGAGGGGUAGUAACAGAACCAACACCCUCGACUGACAUAGGUACAGCACUCGCGGACAUAACAGAGAUUGGUGAAAUGGGUGACAAAGAACCAAACGAUGACAAAUGAGGGGACAUGUGAUGAGACGCACCAGAAUCCAAUAUCCACAAGGAGGAAGGAAUACCUGAGGUACUAGAAGAAACUGAACCCGAAUGAGACAUAGAUGCUGACAUGGCCGUAGGAUUAGAAACGAAGAACUGUCUGAACUGUUCGAAAACCUGGGGAUCCAACGCAGAAGGUGGCAUAGUGCUAACAGACUCAACAUCUACAGAUGGUGCAGCAGCAGCGAACUGUGGAGGACGAGAUGACCACGGAGGAGCACCAGAUGGGCGUGACGGAUACUUUUGCUGCCCAUAUUUCUGUUGCUGCCCAGAUUGAGGCUGUUUGACCUUGUUAAGUAACAACGGACACUGAGCCUUCCAAUGAUUUUUCUGUUUGCAGAAUGCACACUCAUCAAAUGCAACUUUAGGAGAUUGUCGAGUCUGAGUACGUGGUGGCCUAGACUGAUCAGUUGAAGCAGCAAACACGACAGGAGUAGUAGUUACUUUAGACCCUUUAUCCACUUGAGACUUGAUACGAGUCUCCUCUGCAAUCAGUUCAUGAACCACAGAAUCAACAGUAGGGAGGGGAGAUCGAUGAAGGAUUGUUCCACGUAGGCCCUCAAAGUCAGAACGUAGUGCCAUCAAAAACUGAACCAAGCGUUGCUCUUCCCGUCUAGCAAUGUACGGCCCAAAACCUUUUAACUCUGCAGAUUCAGUAAGUGCCAAUUGAUCCCACAAAUCCGACAUGGCAGCAUAAAAAUCUUGAAUACUGAGAUCAUGCUGUUGAAGAGCACGGAUAUCAUACUCCAACUGGUACUGCUUAGCAAAAUUAGACUGAGUGUACAGUCUUUCCAAAUGAUCCCAGACCUCCUUUGCUGUGUCAUACUUAGCCAAUUGCAUACCAAUUGACUGAGUUACAGAAUUGUUGAUCCAAGUGAUAAUCUUGGAGUUAUUAGUUUCCCAUAAGUCCACCAACAAAUCAAAAUUUUCAGUUUUAUCAUCGAUAGGUCUUGGUUUUACUCCAGUGAUAUAACCCCACAUAUUCUUCCCACGAAGAAAAUUCUUCAUGACAUAACUCCAAUAUGCAUAGUUCUUACCAUCUAAUUGAGUACUAAUGGACUGGAGAGAAUCAUCCUUUCCAGUCAUUGUAAACACAGCAACACACAAACAAUUCAAAAAACAAAAAGAUGCAAAACCCUAGGUUGAACAAUUCCGAACGAACAACAAUGGCAGCAAGCAAAAGAACGAAAGACGAACAAUACCAGACAGCAAACGAAGACAGCAACGAAUCAAUCCAACCAAAAAACCCAACGAAAUUAGCAAACGAAUACAGCAGCACCUCAAAAUCCGCGCAGUAGGUGCCUGCUACAAAAUCUUCAACCAACAAAUCAAAGGACAUGGAUCGAACUAGCUUUGAUACCAUGUUAAUAGAACUUUAUUGAAGGGAAGAAAGGCUAAGGUUUACAAUAUAAUCUGAAAAGCAUAAAACUGACUAAAGCACUAUAUAUACAUAGCCAAUAACCUAAAGGUCCAUAAACUAAAGGCCCAAUAACAUAUGGGCUAACAAUAUUGAUCCAAGCUAUUAAGAAAUGUUCCUCCUAAAAUUAUGUUGUAAGCAUUUUCAUGAUUGCUAAUAUAACAAGGAACUCUUAUUCUAAUUCUUCAUUAAAAUUAUCUGCCUUUUCAAUGAAAUUGUUUAUUUUAGCUGGUGAGCUAUCUUUAAGGAUCUUGAUUUCCUCUUCUAUUAGAUUUACUUUAAGGAUUAUAUGCCUUUACAUAUCUAAAAGAUCAUUGAGUUUCUCUAAAAUUUCUUUAUUAUUCAUUUAAAUAGAUUGUGUUCUAGUUUAUACUCUAGAUGCUGGAUUUCCUGUUCUAGCUCAAAUAUAAUUUUCUUUUGGAAGAAUAAUGACUUUUUGUAGACUCCUGCGAAUGAGUUGUAGGCAUAACGUUAAGAACAAAUUUCUCUAUUAAAACCUUGUAACUUUGAUACAGAAUAUAUAUAUAAUAUAGUUGAUUGCAGACUAAGGAAAUAGGAGUAAAGGAUAAGUAUCAAGCAUUUAUAGUUUAAGCUACGCUGUUGGGCUAAUUAUCUAAUAAAUAUAAGCUCGACCAUGAGAUCCAAAGUUUACAGUAGCCAAACCUGGUAAAGUCCAUGAAGUAGUCAACUGUCUUUUCCAUUUUCCAUCCCCCAUACUCUCCUGCCCACGGUGGUAGAGAGUGAUGAAACAAUGUCAACAUAACCUUCAUCCCAUGGGAUCGGACUCUAUUAAUGAUCCAUUUGUAUCGCUCUAAUGCCGCAAAAUUGACCUACAGAAUACAUCAAGUAACUUAAUACAUCGUAGGAGUAUUUGAAGCAUAUUCACCAUGUUACUUUUGCGAGAAUUGAAACAAGAGAAGAUUGAGAGCAAGAUUUUUUUAUUAUUCCCUCAAGCUAUUGGAGACUUCCACUAGCAGACGAUCGUGUUUUUCACAGGAUUUUUCGUCACUCAUGUCAGCAUUCUCACUUCUGAUAUCUUUAGAUCUUGUCACCAGAAACCUUCCCCUAAAAAUUUAAAUAGUGUAUCUGCAUGUUUUUUUUAAUUAUUGUUAUUGUUAUAGUGAAAUCUCCAUGUUCAAAGAAAGAAAAUUACAUAAUUGCAGGAAGUAAAUCAAUUCGAUUGAUUCUAUGCUAUAUUUACAAGAUCCUAGUAAUAUUCAUAAGAUUCUAAUGCUCCCCUCAAGUUGGAAAUAAAUCAAGUCAAUUGAUCCAAUGCUACCUUUAGUUCUUUACGCAAUCCUGGUAAUAUUCAUUCGAUCCUAACACACACCCUCAAGCUACCAAGUUUGCUACAUAUUAACUUGUUAUAGGACCAGCAAGGAACUUGGUGAAUAUAUAUGUGAGCUAAUCAAUGACUACACGAACUUUGUGAUAAUGUCUCCUGAGAGUAACUUUUUCUCUAACUAAAUGACAAUCAAUUUCUAUCGCUUAGUCUUCUCAUGGAACAAGGGCCGGGACAUUUCGGUUCAAACUGAAAAAACCGACCAGACUGAAAUUUUUAAAAUUUGGUUUCUGGCAUUCGAUUUUGUUUUCAAAAUUUCGGUAAUUUGUUUCGUUUUUUUUCGUUGUUGUUCAAAAUGAAUCGGUUAACUGAAAAAUAGAAUUUAUUUAUAUAGUACAUGCAGCAUAUAGGUUACAUAUACAUUGAUUUACACUCCCAGCCCAGUAGCCCACCAGAACAGGCCCAUAUUUAACAAAAUUCCCCACAGGCCCAUACCCAAUUCAAGUCUCAGCCUCACUCUCAUCACUCAUCUCACACUCACUCUCAUCAAGACUAAUGUCGACUGCCAAUGCCACAGCCAGAGCCACCUCACCAUCUGUUUAUCAAUUUCACGUUGCUGAUUUUCCUAAUACUCAAUGAUUUUCUUCCUGAAACUUACCAUAUGUGAAGGUCAACGGCAGAGCUAAGUCCAUCGACAGCAACUUCAUUACUUACCGUUUCCUUGAUUCCCUCAAAAUCAGUAAACAUCUCCUUUUUAUCUGCACAACUCAUUACAAAUUGAAUUAUCCUAGAACUAGAAUCCAAAGUUCAUUGGUGACCCUAUUGCGUUAGUAGUACUUGUAAUUUUUAUUUUAUUUUUUUGCUUUUUAUUUCACUUUUCAUAGAUCGGCAUAUUUUGAUCUUCAAAUCGAAAACCCAACUGAAACAAAUUUAUUUUAGUUUGGUUUCGGUUGUUAUUUUUGCCAAACCGAAAACCUGAAUUCACGAAUCAAACCGAACUGACUGAACGCCCACCCCUACAUGGAACACCAGAUUUGAUGCAAUAUGAAGUACAACCCGAUUACCACACAAGUUCUAUUUGAUUAGUCUCUCUAAAUUUCAAUUGUUUUGGUUGUUGCUUGAUCUACAUGAGUUCUUAUGCACCUAAUGUCAUAGCCACAUUAUGCCUUUGCGCUCAAUCUUGCAAUUACAUUGUGUUACUUCUUUUUUAAAAACACAAAAUUUUCCACAAUCAGAACACAAUAUCCAGAGGUAUAUUAUUGGUCAGAGGGUGACCCAGCCCAAUAUGCAUACGUAUAUUCAACAAUAACCCUUUCCCAUAAGUCGAUCCAGGUAUCGAUGGAUGUGAGUGACUACAUUCCAAUGACUAUCAUAAAAAGAAUCUAGGAAUUUGCAACACUUAGUGUACAGAAAUGUCUGGCCGAGUCACAGUAAGAUAAUUUCACUUUCUCACCAACCUUUUGUAUCUUUCAGGAUCACCAAGAAGCUCCCCUGACUAAUAUUCUGAAAUCUAAUUAUCAGUAAUCUAUUUUACCAUGGACCUGGUAAAAGUUGAUCCUUGGAAUCUAUUCAAGUAUCAAUAUGCUUGUUAUUUUUGUUUCCUCGACAAUAUCAAGAGCAUACUUUCUGUCCAAUGGAAAUUCCUGAUCUAGAUUUAGCAACCUCAACAUCUAAGUAGUACCUCAAUCAAGCAAGGUUCUCGGUCUAAAAGUGUUGAAAAGGUCAUGCUUCAGUUUGGUAAUUCGCUUUUCAUCAUUAUCUGUGAUGACUAUAUCAUCAACAUACACCACCAAAUACAUGCAUAAAUAUGGAGGAGAAUGAUAUUAGAACACAGAAUGAUCAGCUUCUGUAACAACCCGUAACUUAAACUACGUAUGAAACUUGUAGAUGAUGAUGAAUCAAUGUGAAGUCGGGAGAAUAAGGUUGCAAAUGGAAUGACUUUAAAAUAAAAUACCUCCCAAUUAUGAAUAGUAUGAACGAUAGUGGAUAUUAUUAGAUGUUGUUGAGCAUGUUUUGACAGAAUUUAAAUAUCUUGGUGUAGAUAAUAUUUGAUGACCUCAGAGAAUUGUGCUAAUUUUGCAAUGUCAUAGAAUAAUUGGAAAUUUAACUUGAGGUAAGGUUUUUGAUCCCUCUGUAUUUAUGUGCUCGUAAGAGCAUUCUAUACGUGUUUUAGUAAAGAACUCGCGGGACGAUGAUUGAAAAUUGAGAGUUCAAAGCUACAUUUGUUUGGUUGGGUAUUAAGGGGUGUACAUUGUGAAGUCAGGUAGAGGAACUAACCUUGAUCUCAUGAGGGGUUCGUAUGUUCAAUUGGGAGGCGGAAAAGAAGGGUGUGGUGAUAAAACCGCUUGUUUAUAGUAUUUGUCGAGCUUGUUGCUUGUGAAUUAUUAUUACGUUGCAAGUUAAGUCAUUAUUCUUUGUUAGUUGCUUAUUUGUCCUCCAUAUUGUUAUCCAAUAUAGAUCUUUAUUGUAGAAUGAGAGGUGAAAUUGAGAUGCCAUGGAAAUGGAGAAAAACUCGAGGUAUGUAAAGAUGAAACCUCUUUCGUCAUUAAGGCACAACCUAUAGUCACUUGUUUCUCCUAAACGAGUCAAUAUAGUCGACUUGAUAUAUGUGAACAGAGCUUUCACUUUCUACAUAUCUAACACAUUGAGUAAAAAAAAGGGUAGCUCGGUGCACUAAAGCUACCACUAUGCGUAGUGUCCGGGGAAGGGCCCCAUCAAAAGGGUGCAUUGUACGCAGCUUACCUUGCAUUUUGCCAGAGGCUGUUUUCAAGACUUGAACCCGUGACCUCCUGGUCACAUGGAAGCAAUUUUACCUGUUACUCCAAUCCUCCCCUUCAUGUCUAAUACAUGAGUACACACGUAAUAUGGCCACAAUUUCUAUGUGCCCUCUCCAUUUGAAAUUAUUUGUCUUCACACUUCAUGAGUCUAUUUGUUGAAGUCAUAGUAUGCAUUACUCUUGUUUAGUCAAAUAUAUAUAGAGAGAUACAUGAUUGUGUUUGUAUUCAUUAGAAAUUCUUAAGAGUCACAUGGUAUAUCUAUCACAUGCUAUAAAUUAGAAUAAAUAUAGUUGCACUAGUAUAUUUGAUCUCAUAGCGACAUAGCGAUAAGAUGAUAUAAGAACUAGCAGUUAAAUAGCUAGAUACCAUAAAAGAAGUUAGUUGUAUAUGGAAAGUACAUGAUAAAAGGUUACCAUUAUCGAAGGGAGCGUAUUCAUAAAUUUUACUUGACACACAUGCUCGACAUAAUUCUGUGCAUAUAAAAGUAGACAAAUGAAUUUUACUGUAAUUUCUUACAGCUUUCAGUCCACUGAGUGGCUCUUCAGGCAUGAUCCUGGACCAAUCUACCCCCAUUCGAAAGACUUGCACACCAGUAUCUUUAGCUAUUUUCAAUUCAGUGUCUGGAUCAGACCAAAACCUUAGCCUUUCCUCCCUAACACAAUCCCAAACACUAAACAAGUCAAAGCAAAUAAAGAGUAAUGGCUUUGUUGAUAUUUAGUAUCAGUCUAUGUAUAGUCCACAGGUUCAGAAGCAAAGCUUUACGAGUUUAGUUUAAUUAUAAUUCAGCAUGUUAUGCACAUAAUAUCUGAGACUUCAAUCCAUAGGACUUACGGGUGAGGGACGUUAUGCCAGGCAGCAACAUUGUGAUGACACUGCUCAGUAGGAGUUGGCUCUUCCACUUCUACGUACUUCUCAAAUGCUCUUAUUUGUGCCUCAAUGGCUAUCUUAAUAAACCUUUUCCUCUUAAUGGUCUUUGUAGCUUCUCUCUGAGAUAACGUUGCUUGCUGAGAUCCACCAUCACCUGCAGCAGAUCCCAUAAUAGCAUCUGCUGGUUGAGGCUGCUCGUGUUCAUGUGAUUCUGUAUUUUCGGCAAAUUGGAGCCAAGCAUCAUCAAGCCUGUCUUCCACAUGUGCAGGCGCUGUAGCCAAUCCAAAAAAGAACCUGUUCUCCCCUUCUAGAGAGUAUCAAAAACGGGUCAAACCACAUACACACACAUACACAGAUAUUCAAUUACUAAGUUUCUUGUGGACAAUAUAUGCAUCUAUGUGAAGGCAUGAACCAAUAACUGCUGAGAGAGUCGUACAAAAGAAAAAAGAUACUUACAGCAUUCAACUGUAUGAUAACAUAGUACAGCCCUGCAGGGUUCUAUGGGGAAACCAUUGAUUUUUUGUCUUUUACCCAGCUACGAUUUUUCGCUAAGACGGCAGCUUUUGAGAGCUUGUACGCGGGGUUACAGGAGAAAGGAGGGGAAAAAAAGUUGUUUAGAAUCGCUAAGGCUAGGGAGAGGAAGGGUCGUGACCUCGACCAGGUGAAGUGCAUUAAGGGGGAGGAUGGUACAGUGUUGGUGGAGGACGGCCACAUUAAGAAUAGAUGGCAGUCGUAUUUUCAUAGGCUCUUGAAUGACGAAGGGGAUAGAGCUAUUGUGUUAGGGGAGCUGGAGCACUCAGAGGAGUGUCGGGAUUUUAGUUAUUGUAGACGUUUUAAGGUAGAAGAGGUUAGAGAGGCUGUUCGCAGAGUGGAUUUUUGGAAGUUUUCUGGCGAGGCUAGUUUAAGGUGGUUGAUUGGAUUGUUUAAUGAAAUUUUCAAGACGGUGAAAAUGCCCGAGGCUUGGAGGUGGAGUACUAUGAUCCCUCUUUAUAAGAAUAAGGUUGACAUUCAGACUUGUAAUAACUAUAGGGGUAUUAAGUUAUUGAGUCACUCUAUGAAGAUUUGGGAGAGAGUGGUCGAGGUGAGGCUGAGACGGAUAGUGUCUAUUUCGGAGAACCAGUUUGGAUUUAUGCCUGGCCGCUUGACGACGGAGGCAAUUCGCCUGGUACGGAGGCUGGUAGAACAAUAUAGGAAAAGGAAGAAGGACUUGCACAUGGUGUUUAUCGACUUGGAGAAGGCAUACGACAAAGUCCCCAGGGAGGUGCUUUGGAGAUGCUUGGAGGUGAGUGGAAUCCCGGUGGCAUAUAUCAGAGCAAUUAAGGACUUGUAUAAUGGAGCUAAAACUGAGGUGAGGAUGGCGGGAGGAGACUCAAAGCAUUUCACUGUCUUGACAGGAUUGCAUUAGGGAUCUACUCUUAGUCCCUUUUUGUUUGCUUUAGUGAUGGAUGUGUUGACGCGGCGUAUUCAAGGAGAGGUGCCUUGGUAUAUGCUUUUUGCAGAUGACGUAGUUUUGAUUGAUGAGAUGCGGGUGGGGNNNNNNNNNNNNNNNNNNNNNNNNNNNNNNNNNNNNNNNNNNNNNNNNNNNNNNNNNNNNNNNNNNNNNNNNNNNNNNNNNNNNNNNNNNNNNNNNNNNNNNNNNNNNNNNNNNNNNNNNNNNNNNNNNNNNNNNNNNNNNNNNNNNNNNNNNNNNNNNNNNNNNNNNNNNNNNNNNNNNNNNNNNNNNNNNNNNNNNNNNNNNNNNNNNNNNNNNNNNNNNNNNNNNNNNNNNNNNNNNNNNNNNNNNNNNNNNNNNNNNNNNNNNNNNNNNNNNNNNNNNNNNNNNNNNNNNNNNNNNNNNNNNNNNNNNNNNNNNNNNNNNNNNNNNNNNNNNNNNNNNNNNNNNNNNNNNNNNNNNNNNNNNNNNNNNNNNNNNNNNNNNNNNNNNNNNNNNNNNNNNNNNNNNNNNNNNNNNNNNNNNNNNNNNNNNNNNNNNNNNNNNNNNNNNNNNNNNNNNNNNNNNNNNNNNNNNNNNNNNNNNNNNNNNNNNNNNNNNNNNNNNNNNNNNNNNNNNNNNNNNNNNNNNNNNNNNNNNNNNNNNNNNNNNNNNNNNNNNNNNNNNNNNNNNNNNNNNNNNNNNNNNNNNNNNNNNNNNNNNNNNNNNNNNNNNNNNNNNNNNNNNNNNNNNNNNNNNNNNNNNNNNNNNNNNNNNNNNNNNNNNNNNNNNNNNNNNNNNNNNNNNNNNNNNNNNNNNNNNNNNNNNNNNNNNNNNNNNNNNNNNNNNNNNNNNNNNNNNNNNNNNNNNNNNNNNNNNNNNNNNNNNNNNNNNNNNNNNNNNNNNNNNNNNNNNNNNNNNNNNNNNNNNNNNNNNNNNNNNNNNNNNNNNNNNNNNNNNNNNNNNNNNNNNNNNNNNNNNNNNNNNNNNNNNNNNNNNUAUUUAUGUUAUGCCAUCUUGUUCCAUGCUUUACUAUGUAUUUGUGUAGUAUUCCGUGUCUCGAGCCGGGGGUCUAUCGGAAACAACCUUUCUACUUCUUUAGAGGUAGAGGUAUGGACUGCGUACAUCUUACCCUCCCCAGACCUCACUAUGUGGGAAUACACUGGGUUUGAUGUUGUUGUUGUACCCAGCUACGAUUUUCCAGUCAAUGUUCACACAAAAUACUGACUUAAUCUUAGAAAUGGGGAAUCAAUCCAUAGUGAGUUCAUUCAUUUCUUUUUAAGAAAACAGGUAACAAUAUAUUAAUCAGCAGACAAGAUAGUACUGGAAACCAUACUUACAAGUUAUAGAAGAUGCAAAAAAAAAAAAAAAGAUAUUAUUGUCGCAAUCAAGAGUUUCUGAAAGAUGAAAUCAUGCUUCAACAUUGAUAGACCACUAUAAGUUACUGAUGAGGGUCAUUUUAUAUCAACUACCAUCCAAAAAUGGAAUACCCUAUUCUCUCACCAUUUCAAUAUAUAGGGAACUAUUUCUACUUUGGCCGUUCUAAAUGGCUUGACUACGCUACAUUUAUAAUAUCAUCUUCACGUACCUACUCAAAUUUUAAACUGAACUAAGUUAACAUCGUGCUGUAAACACCAUGUUCAGUCACACAAAUGAAACAGAAAAGAGUGUGUUAGCUAGUUCCUUAGAAUCCAGGAGCCAUUAGUAGACUAACUGUCAAAAAGCUAAGAAAAGUUGUAUUACCAGACCGAUUGACAUUGAAAUGAGCAAGAACGUCGGCAGAGUCGUUUAUGGGAGAGCGGAAACGCUUGAGGUUCUUUUUGCGGUAGACGGAGAAGGAAAAAGCAUUGGCAGCAACGGUGAUCGUUACUAGGACCCCGGCAAGCUUCGUAGCCGCCGUGAACAAAGCAAUAACUGACAUUUGUUACCAAUCAAAAAGCAGACAGUUGACAAAAAAAAAAAAACAGACAGUUGAUGUGUGGAGGAUAGCCCUCGCGAGCCAAUACAAAUUCAGUUGCGUGGAGCAUUAUGCUUCCUUUAAAUAUGGAGUCUAUGGCAAUGCUGAUUAUGGUACGGUUAGUAAAUGAGUUAUUUAAGAGAAAAAAUAUAACCGCAAAUUACCAAAUUUUUACACUUAAAUUUUGAGGGAGUCUUAUUAACCCACGGAACUAAUUAAAAUCAUGAUAAAUAAUCCUUUUAAUGUAUUUUUUCACCAACUUUACUUUCAAAGUUAGCAAGUGUGAUACACUUCCAUUUAUAUAUAAAUAAUUAUUAUUUAUUUAUUUACAUUUAAUCCAUUUAAUAAAUAAAAAAUUCUCUUUCCUCUUCCCCUCAGCUUCUCCACCCUAACAACCCCAUUUUUACCUUCACUUAAACAGUCACCAAUUCUAUUGUAGGGUGACAAAAUAGUUAUCAAACUAUCACUAAUUAAUUUUAUGAAAAUCAAACCCAUUACAUAAUUAAAAUGUGAAUACUCAAAUUACCAUCAAUUAAUCAAAAUUAAAAUACUUAAGUUACCACUAGACUAAACUUGAAAUUGAAAUCGCUAACUUUUUAGGCUUACCUUCAAAUCAAGAUAUUUCCACCACCUUACUACUUUCAAUCUUCAUUGUUGUAGGAGAAAAAGAAGCACUGUAACAAUUUUUUUAUAUUUGAAAAAAUAAGAAAUAUCAGAAAUUAACAUUGUUUUUUAAAAAAACAAAUCUGCAACAACCAAUUUAAUAGGGUCAAAUAAAAUCUGAAAAUUAUCCUUUUCGAUUUUGAUCGGGUAAUUAUAAAAUCGUAAUUUCUAUCAUUAAAAUCAGUUAUAAUAACCAGAUAGGAAAGAGAAAUUUCUUGAAUUCUUAUCCUCAAAACCUAAUCAGAAAUAAAACUUGAUUUUCAAAAAAUUUAAGCAAAUUAAAAUUGAAAUUAAAGCUCCAAAGACUGAAAAGUAAGAAAAUUUAGAACAUAAAUUAAAAAAUUGUAUUUUUUAAGGCUGAUUUUGUUGAGAUUAGAUUGAGAAGGGAAUGACUUUAUUUUUUUUGAAAUCAAGCUCCAAGGCUAUAACAAUAGAGGUUGGGAGAAAUCGGAUUUUUAGAAAGAAAAAGGGUUGUUAAAAUAAUUGUCAAAUUUAAUUACACGUGGCAUUUUCUAAUUGUUGGUUGCUGGCAAUUUUCUUCAUUACGUGCUUCAUAGGUGUGACCACACGCAUAGGCUCAAAAUCGUUUAAAAUGAUCUAUUUAUAAAGGUUUGUACAAGUUUUGUAGUGUAAUAGAUCGCCCGCAAAGUUUAAGUGUCUUUUUACAAAUUCGAACAACUUUCGUGGUCAUUUUAUGUUUUUUUCUCUUCUAAUUAUUUCUCAAAAUAUAUGAUAUAUUGAGAUUUAAUUUCAUCAUUUGGUAACUAUGAAAAUUCUCAUUAACCACCAAUUUGGUGGUAUCCCAUAAUCCCAAUCCCCAUCCCACCAGCCACUCUCCUAAAAAUAAUAUUUAUUAAUUUUUUUUUUCAGAAAAUUUUAAACUUUUUCCUUAUUCCACUCCUACUCCUACCCCCCCCCCCCCCAAAAAAAAAAACCCAAACACAUUAAACUGUUUCUUACCCCACCACUUACUAGCCCAUCUUCGCAUAAAUUUUUUUAUUUUUUAGAAUUAUUUUUUCAAAAGUUUCAAAAAAAAAUCUUACCACGCCGCCACCUCCUACCAGACCCCUCCCCCCCUCCCUCUCAUCCAAGAAAAAAUAUUUUUUUAAUUUAUUUUCUUUCUUAUCUCAUCCCCUAUACCUACCCUCCACUAUCCCACUCUCAAAUAGGUUUUUUUAAAAAAUUCUUAAUAUUUUCUUAUCUCGCUCCCUUAUCCUAUUCGUUCUCAUUAUUUUGUGUUAAAUAUAUAAAAAUAUUUUAAAAAAUAUUUUUUUAUUUGCGUAAUGAGCAUAAGAAAAUAAGUAAGAAAAGUUUUUUCCUAAUUUUUUUAAUUUUAUACCGAACACACCCGUAACAUACUCAAAAGAUGCAUUCAAACUUCGUACUUGUCGUUGGUGGCCACGUUUCACACCAAAAGAAAAUGAAAUUUGUUACUAUAAAAAAUGAUGCCGAUUACAUUUAUUUUGAUAUACUCUUGUAUUGAUUUUGUAAAAGUUUACAUGAAUUUAAAACUUAAUAUAUGUAUACAUGGCAUAAUUUGUGACAAAUUAACAGGAAGAAAAUUAUUUUAUUAACAAUUAUUGAUAAAUUUAACAUUUAUAAUAAUUAAUGGCAUUUUAGUACACUUACCAUUUACGAUAUAGUAUCAUACCGUCAAAUCAAAUAAUAAAACUGUUAUUAAACAGUAGUGAACAAUACAGUCCAUCCAAACAUUGAAUUGUACUAUACUGUACAAUACAAGUCCAUACCUACAGUACGAUAAAUUAUGAAACCAUGACAAACAACUAUCCAAACAAAGUGUUAUUUGGGCUUGCAUUAGAGACAUACAGACCUAAAUGCAUUACUACAUAGUUAUAGUUAUAAUCGUUUGUCGGUUAAAGUUUAGCAAAAAUGUAUAGGAGAUAUAGAGAAAUGCUAAUAAAUUCUUAUAGCAUUUGAACUAUAAAAAGGAACAAAUCGUACAAAUAUAUGGGAGGAUACAACUCUAUCUUCAUAUACAGUUUUGAGUACUACAAUAGAUAAAUUUGAUCCAAAAAUGAUUAAAAAGAAGUCUAAAGGUACAACAUAAACUAUACAAAUGUGAUUAAGCCUCAAAUGAUAUUAAUUAGGAAUCAGACUUUGAUUAAGUGAAGAAUUUCUUUCGCAUGUAUGAUUCAUUAAUAACAUUGUCCCAAGAAAGUAUACCCCUAAGCAAAAUAUUUUGAAAAAACAUUCAUAACUUUAUUUUAAACUUUAUUUUAGCUGAAUCUCUUGAAUAAAUUGUAUUAUACUAAAACAAGUGAAUAUGUUGCUAAUAUAUGAUACAAAAAGUGCUAAAGAAAAUUGAUAUUUGCAACAUGUACUAACUUGAACAAAUAUACCUACUACAGAUAUUGAUGAGUGAAAUAGACUCUUUUGGGUGAAGAAGUCGACCAGAAGAAAAACAAAUAGAAUAAUGCGACAAACACAUCUUCUUGUGUACUUUUAUAGAGUGCUUUAAAGAAUGUGAAAAGAUUGUCUAAAACUGAUAUAAUGGGGAAGAUGGAAAAAAUACAAACAAUCAAUAAUAAUUAAGAAAGUUUGCAUUGAUAUAGAUCACUCAUGAACUUUUUCCAUUGUUUUGAAUUUUUUGAUAUAUUAUUAUUAACUCGAAAUGAUUCAUGUUUAGGGCACAUUAAAUUUUAAAAUCGAGUUUUGAAGAAGUUUUAAUAGCUGAACAUGGAGUCUUAAGUUUUCUUCAAAAGAGAUUUAUUCAAUUGGAGCACAUUUUCAGUGUUGCACAAAAUAAUUUCACAUUAUUUUUUUAGCUUCAAAAUAUAGAUAUUAAAAGAAAAAAACUAAUUUAAUAGAGGAAAGAGACUGAGAAAAAGUGAUUUAUGUGGAGUGUAGGGUGUAUUUUUAGACCCAUUAAUCGCAAGCUCUAUUUGUAUUGGACUUGUAUUUCGGCUGCAAAAUAAAUUGGUUAAUGACCACUUUGUGUAAUACAUGAUAAUUGGGUCAUUUUCGAUGAAGAAUUUCUGACCGAAUGAAUAAUUUAUUUUAUUUUCCUUAAUAAUGGCAUGUGAAAUAUUUGUACUUGAAAUUAUCAUCUUGAUCUCUUCAUCUUGACUUUGUCGAUUGAAUAAAAUGUUGAAAUUUAAUUUUAAAAAGAAUUAUCCAGUUAGUGAUACAUGUAAUGUAACCAAUGGCAUGUCAAAUUCUAUGUUUUUUUAUGUGCCUCAUUAAAUACCAAAUAAAAAAAUAUCGCAAUGGACCAUCAUCUUCCUCAUGCAUUUUUGUUCAGGAUUUUCCAAUCAAACUUCCUCAAAUUUCCAUCAAAAUACUUGAAAUUUUAACCAUAACCUCCGGACAACAUUAUCAACAAAUUUCAUUAAUAAUUUGGAGCUUAUAUUCAAGUAUUCGACAAACCAUUUGUCAUGACUUUAAAGAUUUGUCCCAAGAUUUAAUUUUUUUUCAUUUUUUUUUGAGCAAAAGACAUGGCCUAUAGUAAUGAAAUUAGUGAUAACAAAUCUAAAGUAUCAUUUAUUCUCUUUAAUAUGUAAUGAAAUUGUUAAUAGUACUAAUUUGUUAGUUUUUUCUAACAAAAAUUUACUCAUAUAAACAAUCAUUUGAAGAAGAAGAAGAAAGGCAAAAAUAUAAAAAGUUAAUGAGGAGAAAUUUGAACAGAAAAAAUAGAAGAGAGAAGAACAAUUCAAGAAAAGAAAAAAGUUUUAACUUUUUGUUGAAAAAAGUUUUAACUUUUUGUUAAUAAAAGUGAAUGAAUAGUGAAGAAAAAGAUAACCAUUAAAUAGGUCAAAAAUUAAUUAUUGAUGUCUUUUCAAGAGGACUCACACCCCAUAAAAGGCGCGUGAGACACACACUUUGGCCAAAUAUCACAUACAUUUACCAGAUGAAAAGAAACGUUUAAAAAAUGAGGUUAACAAGUUUUCAAUUUACAAAGUUGGGACUGCAGUGGUCAAAAUAACAAUUCGGGACAAAUAUAAAGGUCUUUCAAAUCAUUUUGUCUUAUUUAAUCAAUAUUUAUUUUGUAGUAAGUUGCUAAUAUUUAGAUAAUAAUACUUCUAAGCAAUGUGAUUUUAAAAAUUGCAUCUAAUAUACAUCACGUGAUGAUAAUAUCUAUGGCAACAUACUUUUAUUAAAGGAUUUGACUGAAACUUUAGAAGCUAGAGAGAUAAAGAAGAUGUUUAUCACGGAACAAAGUUCACGAAUGAGCUAAAACAUUAUGACAAAGAGUGAAGUAAAUGCUACAUAUAUUUCUUGGUCUAAUUUCAAGUCAAAGGGGAAAAAGAUUGGACACGCAUGAAGUUCAUGGACCAAAAAUCAAACUCAAAAUAGGCUAAAAUUCAUAGUGUAAUAUGGUGGAAAUAGAGAUGUCAGUUUCGGUACAAAUUUGAUACUUCUAACCUUUAGCUUUUAUUAUCUAAUUUGAAAAUGAGUGUGAUAUUAAUUUUACCUGAUUUCAUAGUUUAGAAGUGUUCUAAUUAGAUUUUACUACUUAUUAUUCUCAUAAAAUGUAAUCAAAUCUCAUGUUAUUUGAGAUAGAGUUGGCCAAUUUUUCCUUUGUAUAUAUGGGAGAAUUUUGUUCUUUUGAGAAAAUAACAUUUUUAUUAAUAUUAUUGUGAGUUAUUUUUUUUACAUUUUCGUGUAUUAGCUAUUGUGGAUUUAUAUUAGAAACCUUACAAAAAUGAUUUCUUUAGGAUGUAAGAUUAACUAUAUGUUUGAAUCUUGAUAUACAUGGUUCUUAUUUGAAUUAAUUGAAAAAGGUAAUUAGUCUUGUACUAUUAUUUUUAAUUAUUCAAUUAGGAGUAUAGAUCACUUUCAUUCAAGUUCUUAUAGUGAAUUUGCAUCUUAUUUUGCUAGUUAAAUUUACUAUAUUCAAUUAGGAUUCUUAGCAAUUACGUUUAAUAUUUGAGGAUUUAUUUUCAGAAUUUCACAUAUCUUAUUUUUUUUUUCUUUUAAUCAUUAAAUUAUUGUUAUGCCCUGAACCAAGGGCAAGGAGGACCAGAUUUUGGUGUCUUAACUUGAUCAAGCAAGCUCUUUUAUAUGAACAUAAAACUACAAUACUUUUAUGGCAUCGCAUCUAGGAGGGAUAAUAGGAACGAGUCAUGUAAGAGAAACUCUCACAUAUAUAGUGAAAACAUAAAGGCAAAACCCAUACGCAGCCCCCUUAAGUACGCACCAUUUUUCAUUUAGGCACCUCAAGUGGAUAUUAUUUCAUUUUGGCACCUCAAGUAGGUAUAAAGUGUGCCACUUUGGCACCUUUUGCUGAAUCAACAAAUUUAUAUUGUGUACGUGUAUUACACGCGCCUGAUGAUGUGGAAAGUGACAAAUAAUAUGCCGACACGUGUCAUUUUUAAAAAAAAUAAUUUUUAAAUCAUUAAUUAUUUUUUUUUUCAAAAAAAAAUCAAUAAUCACCCCUUUCCCCAAUAAAUAAUUUUAAAUAAAAAUACUCAAAUAAUUUAUAAAUAAUUAAUUUAAAUAAAAAGUACCCCCUCCCUCUAACCUACCCACCCCAACAGGAAUAACUAAUAUCAUGAACGACUGUAUCUAAACAUAACUGAUAACAUGGGUGACUGUACCUGAGUAUAACUGAUAACGUAGGUGACUGCAGCUGACAGUCUUGAAUCUGAUGAAACUAUCUGAGUUUCGUACUGUAUCUAAGUUGACUGUAUCUGAUAGUCGUAAAAUAUGAAGAACUAUUUGAAUUCUAUUAUUUAGAUUGAUUAAUUGUAUCUAAUAGUCCUUAUUCUGUAACAUGAAAUUGUGAGGAGUAGUAUCUAACUGACAUGCCCAAAAUAUGCUAUAAUAGCUGAGCUGGGGUCCAAUCUAUGCCCUGAUUGGAAGCGUUUCAAUGCCGCGCCACUGGUAAGGACAACAUGUGAGUAACCCUCAUAUAACAAAAAGAAAAGAGAAGAAAAAAAUUACAAAAAUGCCACUGAAAAAUUAUGAAAAUGCCACCCAAACGCGCCUUCAAUGCGUGUGUCACACGUACCUUGCCAACUCAGCAAAAAGUGCCAAAGUGACACACUUGAAGGCCACUUGAGGUGCCAAAAUGGAACAAUGUCCACUUGAGGUGCCUAAGUGAAAGAUGGCGCGUACUUGAGGGACCUGCGUAUGUAUUCUGCCAAAUAUAAAAGUAAAACUAAUUUAAUGUCACUAUCUAAAAACAAAGGUUAUGAUGGAACUUAUUGCGGCUAAGCCUUGAUAAGUAAUUCAAUCAUACAAAUGUCUAAGUACGAAGAAAACAAUACAAUAUUUUUCCAGGUGGAACUUCUACAGUGAAGUCAAACCCAUACGAGUACAAUAAUAGCGGAAAUCUGAACAAUAAAGUGUCACAAUCCAAAAAUCAAGGGUCAUGAUGACGCUUAUCUCGGCAAGCCUUGACAACUAAGCCUAUUAUAAUACCAAAAUCCAAGGUAAUGCUUCUAGAACGAAGUCGAACCACAUAUAUACAAAAAUAACAGAAAAAUACAUAAUAAAGAUAUCAUAAAUCUCCCAAAAUCUGGUGUUAUAGUAUAAAAACCAACUGAAUACAUCUCAAAUUUAAAAUAUACAACUGAUAGUCUAAAGGAACAUAAUAUGUAUCUAAAUAUGAAAAUAAGACAUAAAUCAAAUAAGAAGAGGUAGUAGAUAAACUUUGGAAGCAUAGGUCGAUCGCUACCUUAAAAAUACUCCAAACACUUUUCGAAUUAGCUAUAGUAUGGUGCACUCAUACAUGGAUCUGCACCGAAAUGGCACGUAGGGGUGAGUACGAUCCACUUGUACUCAGUAGGUAUCAUAGUCCAACCGAUCAAAGUAGAAAAUAAAGUAUAUAGCAUACACACUACGAGCACGUCACUUGCAAUUAGAAAAUAUCCCAAACGGUAGCCCACACCAUCUUCAUUAACAAUUCUACAAUAUACCAAAUACAAGUACGAGAAAAAAGCAUAAAUAAAUAUAUAACAAGUCAAGAAUGAAAGUAAAACAUUAAAUGUGCAUAAUAUAUGAAAUGCAAUGAAGAUGAUGAUGUAAUGCACGAGAUUGUCUCACAAUCUUUGUAUACACCAAUCGAGUUGUGCUCCCAAGGUAGGACCCAUGGGGGGUUCGUUCACUCAUAUAUAAUCCAAUAUCGAUAACUCAUCUUCGAGACCUACAUCGGUAGAGGGUUUUUAAAGAUAUCAUAUUUUCUGUCAGAAAAACCAGUAUUUCAAUAGUGGUAUCAAUAUUUUAUGACUGUAUAUGAUAUGAGAAUGUAAUGCUGACAACCAACUAGAAUGAGAGUUUCCAAAUCCAACCAAUAUACCAACCAUGUGAGCCAAAGAUUCCACUCAAUAUGCCAAUCAUCAUAGUUCAAAACUACUAGUAACGGACUAUCAAAUAAUGAAGGGAAGAAUGUGAAAUAGAUGUAAUAAAGAAUAACAUACAUAAGAUAAUCUCAAAACCUGGUGGAAUCAGUACAAGAGCUUCUAACGUAAUAAGAUUUUCAAAGUGAAGUACAAAUGAAUAUACUGACAUAACACAUCUCUGAAUAGAACAUAGAGACUAGUCGAGUACAUAAGAGGAAGGAAAGUAAUACUCCAAACAUCGAGAGCUCACCCUACGUCUCUGAACCAUAGCUGCUUCGCACUAUGCACACAACAACGACAAUAACACGUACUGUGAUCUGCAGGCUACAGAAGUGUAGUAUGAGUACCAAAUAUGUGAUACUUAGUAGGAAACUGCUGAAUGAGCUCCAAAGAUUAUGCGAAUAUACAUAUCAUGUAAGCAGAAAUGUAGACUACACCCAGAUGUCCAACAACCACGUAGUGAAACUAGUGAGAAAUAUAAGGAUAAACUAACCCACUCAUAUCUAAGAAACUAACAUAAUAAGGCUAAGGAAGUAUCAAGGAUGAACUAUCUUAUUCCAUCCAUACUCAGGAAACUCAACACUAUAUCGUAUAUAACUGACCAAUAUGUAUAAUAUAUGAAAAGUGUGAAGGGCCUUAGAAAUAUUGUUUGAAAUUUUUGACCUUCAUUAAAAUUCUUUGCUUUCGACAAGAUCGCCUUUUCACUAUUUUUUCCUAAUAUUUAUGAUUUGAAAAUUAAUUAAAAAUAUUUAUAAUAAAAGCUUUCUUUAUUAGAAAUAAUCAAAAUUAAUGACAACUAUACUUUUUUCAUUAAUUUAAAAAUUCUAAAUCAACUAAUUUGAUUUUAAAAUUUUUUGAAAAAUCUAGAAAUAAAUAUAAAAGCAUUAGAAUAAGAAAAAUUUAAGAAGUAUCAUUUUUUUAAAAUUUUAAGUACGUAAUAAGAAGGUAAUCAUUGAUUUUAUAAAGAUUUGACUUUAAAACUAGAAAAAAUUUUAAGUAUAGAAAAAAUUAUCGUACCACAAAUAUGAUUCAACUUGAUGUGUCUCUCUAAGCCUUAGGCAGCAAGGGAAAAAGGUACUGCAUGACAAAUGCAAAAGUGAUGAUCCAUCAACCACUUGAAACUUCUGGCGGAAAAAUAUAUAUGUUCUUACACUAAGAUAUAUAUAUAUAUAUAUAUUUAUUUAUUUAUUUAUAAUAUUAUGUUAAAGUGUGAAGAAUCUUUGAAAAGUAAUUUAAACUUUUACACUUUAUAAAAUCUCCGUAAUAGAUAAAAUUAUUUAAUUUUAAAUAAACAAACGUUAUACGUGUGAGAUGUGGUUAAACUAGUAGGAAUAAAGGGUGAAAGGAGGAUAUAUAAUAGUAUACAAGGCCAAGAAAUGAAUAUACAAUUUGAAUAAACGAAGGAAGGAAGGGAUAUACGAUAAUACCAAAGCUACAUAUAGAUAUAUAGAUUUGUAUAAACAAGGUCAACUCAAGGUUCAACUUAAAUCAUCUAUCUAGCAUUUUAAGACCUCAUAAUCACAGCAGGAACUAGUGCUAGCAUACUUAGGGUUCUAAUCCAUACGUCUAAUCAUAAGAUAAUCAUGCAUAAUAAUAUAAUCAGAAGAUGAAAGAGCCAGAAUCAUACCUCAAAUAGACCAUACCGAAUCAUUAACCUACUCAAAUAGACCAUACCAAAAUGGUAACCUAGUUGUCACAAACUAGCCAGAACAAUGGUCAUAACAACAUUAAUAACGAUAGCAUAAUAAUGCGAGUAACCGGAUAGUCCGGACAAAUAAUACCUAACCGAGCUUGUCACGAAACCCCACUGCCCUGGGCUCAGAAGGUUCAACUAAAACGCAACGUACCACAAACCAUACUCAUCACCUAUACCUAUGCAACCUCCCAUAAGACUGAUAGAUAUAGGGUCAUACUGGUGAUAGAUAAUGCACAUAUAAAGAUAAAUACAAUAGAAUCCACAAUACCAUAACAGAUCCGAGUAUCAUAUUGUAAAUCUGGAUUGGAACUGAUAAGUAUAAUCAAUAUCAUAAUCAUAAUCAUUAUGACCAUCAUCAUCAUAUCCAUCAUCAUUAUAACCAUCAUCAUCAUAACCAUUAUCAUCAUAACUGUCACGACCCAAACUAGGGCCUGGCUGUAAUGGGUAUCUCAAGUCCAUUAAGGACCGGAGACCACCCCCUUCGACUAGUCAACCAGAACAUAGUAUAAUAUUACAACAAAAUUCCAAACGUAAAAUAAAAUAGAUAAGUAUGAUUCAAAAAAAAUCUAAGAAUUCAACAACCAAUCCCAAGCCCUUAGUAAUGGCCAGCAAAGUCUAACAAAAUCAAAGAUAGUCUAGUCAGGACAUACCCCUGACCAUAGCCGAAAAUAAAUUCAAAAGAAAGAGUCAAAACAUAAGGAACCCCAAAGCAUGAAAUGGGGUAUUUUGAAGGAUGGAAGCUCACCACUUCAGUCUGACUCAUGAGUUGUCCCACGAUUACCUAGGCACUAUGCAAAAGGAGUAAAAGUGUGGCCAGUUCCUGCAUCACAUUGGGAUAUAACAUCUGAAGACGGUUAGUAGUUAGAGAGUUAGCAUGUAACUAAGGGAUAAAGGAUAAAAUAAUGCCAUGAUCCAUAAUACAAAAACCAUUAAAACCAAUGCACAACAUCAUAUGCCAUACAUACAUAUAUAUCACAUAUCGAAAAAAGGGAAUAGGGAAUAGCAUGAACUUUAAGACCUUAACCUGGACUGUGUAUCUUGACUAUCAUAAAUAGGAACCCAUGAGCUAUAUGGGUUCAGUUCCUCUACUGAAAAGGGCCCCAGUGCGUGUUAGCCACAUGAACUAGAGGUAUCAUGAAAGGCCGGGGAUUCCAACAUACCCUUCACCAACCAUGAUACAAUUAUAUAUACACUUAGGGGAUUCCAUUGUACCCCACAAGCACCUGGUCAUCAAUACCACCCCUCAUAUCAAAAAAUAGGAGUUUUUAGUAUCAGUCAUUUGGACUCACACUUUCACGUCCAGCUAACACAACCCCCCAUUAAACCCAAGUUAAAAUUUUAACACAUAACCCAUCCACCAAUUUCAGGAGUCAAUUAUUAAGACAUUACUAAGUGGUAUUGUCAUACCGACUAUAACUUGUAAGCAAUGUCAUUAAGCUAACACUUAGGGGAUUCUUUCAUACCCUAUAGACUCUAUUAUUAAAAUCACUCGGGGGAUUCUUUCGUACCCCACAAGGUUUUCAUUAUUAAAAUCACUCGGGGGAUUCCUUCGUAUCCCAAAAGUUAUUUACACACUCAAACUAUUACCCUGAACUAAUAUACAUGUGUAUUAUACCUAAAAAUAAUAUGGUAAAAAUAAUUAAUUAAUAUAAAAAAUAGAUGCAUUUGAGUCAAAAUUAAAGUAAAAAAAAAGUCAAUAAAAUCCUCCUCCCUAUCUCACCCACCUACACCUCUUCUUCAGCAUGCCCCACACCUCUUCUUUAUCAUAACCCACGCCUCUUCUUUACUGCAAUCAGAAAAAUAGUGGAAAAAUCACACCACCAUAAAUUUCUCUACACCGAUCAAAACAUCAAUGAAUAAGAACAAUCCCAAUUAAUUCCACUGUCACCAUAAAAAAUAACAACUUAUCACCCAAUUUCACCACCUCUGCCAUAUCUUCACCACCUAAUCCAUCACCUUCACCAAUUCCAUCACCGGCCACCAUCACCAAUUUAAUCACCUAUCACUAUCAAUUUUAUCACAAAUGACAUUACCAAUUUCACCGCAAAUAAUUGAGUUUGGCAGAGGGAUUUAUGUGACAAAUUUCAUAAAUUGAAUAAGGAUAAAAGGAAAAAAGAGGAUUUACACUUUAUGCAACUUGCUAAUAGUUUACAAUGGCGAAAAUGUCCAUAAUGUAGCAUCUGAUAGUUAUGAUGGGCCAAUUUUGAUGUUGGAUUUGGUGAUGAGUGUUAAAUUUUUUGUGUUUUUUUUUUGUAAUUUUGGAUUAUGAUAAUGGUGAUAUUGCGAAUUCGAUAAUAAUUUUGUGGGUGUUGAAUUUAUGGUGAUUGUUUACAAUUUUUGUGAUGGCAGUAAUUGUGUUUUAAUUUCAGUGAUGAAAUCUAUAGUGUAUUCUUAAAAUUAUUGUGGUGGAGAUGUGUUUGAUGGUGAUGGUGGCAAUGGUGGUGAUGGGUUUGGUGGUGUUUUGUGAACAAGAUGCAAUUAGGGUGACAUAAAAUUUUUUAAAAGAAAAAAUUAACGUAAUAUUUGAUGUGACAGUGACACGGCUAUGAUGUGGUGCGGGUGUAAAAGAGUUUCCAUCACAUGUAUGAUUCUGUGAGUGUUGGAGUGAAAAUAAAUUCACUUUGUGAAAAUUAUUCCUAAUGUACUUUUUAGAUUGUUAAUUACAAGUUAUAGCAAAACUUUUCAUUAAUUACUAGACUUAAUAAAUAAUUACAAGCUAUAGCAACUUCUGAGAAAAAUAUAUUUUAAUUAAAUUUUUGAAAAUAAAUUUUUUAAUAUUUAUAAUUUAUAUUAUUUUCUUAUAUUUAGCAUUUAAUAUUUAUCACUUUUAAUUAAUGAUCUUGGAUAACUAUGGCAAGUUAAGAUAUCAAUUUUUUUUAAUAAUUAAAUAUCAAAGUUUGUUCACAAUUUAAGAAGUUAUAUAUGGUAAUUAUAUUUUCUAAAGUUAAAAACUGAUUUCAUUCUUUUUAUUAACUUGAAUAAUUAACUAGAUUAUACACUUUUUUAUAUUUUACUGUAUUUAAUUACCAAUAGAAGUCUAUUUCUUUAUCUUUUUUAACAUCUUCUUCCCUUCAUACGCAAUAUAUCUUUUAACUUUUACCAACCAUUAAUAAAAGUCUUCCCUUCUUUUACGGUAUCUUCAACUCGUUAUUAUUUACUCUUUUCAACUUUUUUUCUUUUCUUUUGAGUACGAUUUUUGGUUUUCCAACAAAUCAUUCACCAUUUGAGCUUGGUUUAAUAUCUUAAAAUUGUUCUUAUUUUCUUGAAACAAUGUCCAAAAAAUUAAGUUUGAUUCUACCCCUAGUAGGAAAAGACCUAGAAUUAUACAAUAAAAUAAUCCUAUUAAUCUUUCAAGACCAUCGUUUGAUUUGGGGUGCUUUACCACAUCUCUAAAAUCAAAGAACAAGAAAAAAGUAUUUGAAGUUGAUUCUAUUUCUCACAAUAAAAGUAAAAUUUUGCCGGUGAAAUUCGAUUUUUCAAAGAUUUCACCAUCCUUCAAGCAACAACAACUCAGCAUGCAAAACUAUAUAGUAUAAAAAAAGGUUGUUGUUUCAGAUUUUAAGAAUGUUGACAAGAGAAAAAAGCUUGUUGGUCAACAUGAUUUCGAUUCGGAUUUUGAAGAUGAAGUUCCCGCACCUAAAAUGAAAAAAUCAAAAAAUAAAAUUCAUGAAAAUGCUAGAGUUACAAGGUCUAAGGUCAACGUGAGUGUUGGCAAAGUGGAUGAUAAGAAAUCUGACAAAAAGAAAUCAAGAAAUGUGUGCAAGGUUAGUGUAAUCUGAUUUUUUUUCAUAUAUGUAUUAAAUUGAUUAAAUUGAUAUUGAAUUAAUUUUAAUUUUUUUAAUAACAUGCAUGUAAAUUAGCCUUUAUUAAUUUUUGAGUUUUUAUGGUUUAAAGUUGAAAUAUAACUCUUGAUGUUGUUACUGUUCGGAUUUUGUUAAAAUAUCUCUUUUGUUGUUGUUAGUGGUUGAAAGUUGAAAAUUUUACUUUUGUUGUUGUUAUGGUUGAAAGUUGAAAUAGCACUUUUGUUGUUGUUAAUGAUUGAGAGUUGAAAUAUAAAUUCUAACUGUGAAACAAGUUGGUGCAUUAUGUUUUUUUACAUUCAUGGUAAAAGUUUAAUGAAUUGUUUAUUUUAACUUUUAAGUACGCAAAAAAUAGAGAUGUUAUUAAAAAUAAUAUAUGUAUAUAAAUGGUUAAAGUGUUGUGAAUUGUUUAUGUCUUUUUUUUUCAGGACAAAAAGCAGUAUACUCACUAGUCUUCAUACAUAAAAGUUAAUUUGUUCGAUGAUCUCAAACAGAGAUGGACCAAAGAGCAUUUUAAAAUAUUUUAGAAAUCUCCAUUUUGUCAUUUUUUGAAUAUGCAUUUUUUGAAAAUUCAACCCAGCUUCUUCAUAGUCUAUUACUUGCAGAAAUCGAUAAUGAUAGGGAUGAUUUAUUCAUCUUCAAUAUCAAUGGUAAAGAACUGUAUUUCGAAAAGAGAAAUUUUUUUGUGGUUAGUGGGUUGAAAUGUUUUAAGAAAUCAGAUUUUGUUUUCGAUCCUAGUGAAAAAAUAAAUUAAUGGAUAGAUAUUAUCCAGGUAUGGAUAAGGUAAUGAGGUCUUUUUUCUAUGAUCAUUUUGUUAAAAGAAGAUUGCUUUUUGAGAUGAAGAUUUGUAUGAAAUUGGAUUAGUAUACUUCAUAAGUCGAUUUCUUUAAUUUGAAUUAUCAAGAACGUCAUAAAGAAGGCUGAUUUUGACUUGGUAGAAUCAGGUCACUAUUUGAAGUAUGAUUGGGGAGGUGAGUGUUUUCAAGUCUUGAAAAAACCAUAUAGUCAUAAGAUGAAAAAAAAUUCAUCCUCUUUUCAUUUUCGAGGAUUUCAUCUUGCGCUUCAAAUAUGGUUCUGUGAGUGUUGUUUGGAUAUUGAUAAGUGUGUUGAUAAUAGGAUUGGAUUCCAAACUUCAACGAUUUUAAAUUGGGAGUCAUCUGAUGAAUUAAUUUUUUAUGACUAUCUUCAGAGUACAAUGUUCAAGAGGUACAACAAUGAGGUAAUGAUCAUAUUCUAACUGUAUUUUCUUAAGUAAUUAUUUUACCUAUCAACAUUUUUCCUUUAUAGUUUAUAUGUAUAUUAUUGGUAUGCAGUAACACUUUUUGGGCAUACCAGUGUUUAAUUAUAUAUCUGACUUUUUUUUAAACUUCAGUAUGUGUUUAGAGACAUUGUGUUUACCGAUGUAGAGGAGGUGGAAUUCAACCUUGGAGCUAUUCAUCAGGACAGUUUGGGUUAUGAACAUCGUAAUGAUUCAGACCAUUCUAUACCACCUAUAACUGAAGAUGCAUUUACUGUCUUAAAGAAUGAAAUAGCCAAUGUAUGUUUCUAAUUUAAUCUUCAAGUACAUAUUCAGUAUUGUUUUCAAAAUAUUUAACAAACAUGUGAUUGAUGUUUUUUGUAUGUCUAUGUCCAGGUCCGUCGUGAUAUGUCGUUAUUUCAGGAGAAGGUUUGAUUUGAAUGAUAUGUAAAACCUUAUAAUGGACAUCAACUUUCCAGUACAACAUUUUUGUGUAUUAAUUUUGUAGGGUUAUAUUUUUCAGUUGUACUAUUAACUGAGUACUUUAUGUUUAUGUAUGUGCAGGUUUUCAAAGAAAUGAUAGAAUAUCAGAAAAAUGUAUAUUUAAUCUAUAAUUUUAUAAUUUCAUUAUUAAUCUGAAUCAGUUUUUGAUAUAUCUUUUUCAUUGUUUUAUGUUUUUUCAGGUUGAUAGUCAAUUCAAUGGGAUGAGGGAGUUUGUUGAAGAAUCUGUGAAGUUGAUAUUGAAUGAAUUAAUAUUGGUUAAACAACAAUCGUCUGAAUUUGUUGAAAAAGAGGUUUAGUUUUCAUUGCAUUCAACUAUCAUAUAUUUGUUAUCAGUUUUUUCAUUACUAACUAUUAUUAAAAUACUAUAUCUAUCCUAAGAAUGUGGACGUUGGUUUACAAACCCCAAGUGCAAGCAAGAAGCAAGAUGAAGUGCUUGUUGAUCCUGUCAUUGAAAAAUAUUCUUUUGGUGAUGAUGUUUCUAUCCCAUUGGAUGUUAUUAUUUCUAUACUUUCAUAUUUAAUUUUAUUUCUAUAAUAACAAGAUUGUACAUUAUUGAAAUUCACUUCAUGAGUUCUCAUGUUUCAUUCACAGUUUCUAAUAAUCUAGUUGUGAAUAAUCUUGUCAAUGAUCAGUCACCGUUGGAUGACAUACCCUUCUUUACUGAGUCUCAAUUAGCUGUUUUUGAACCAAUAUUUAGAGUAUUGGAAACACCAAAAGCACAUAUCACUACGCUAUAAUGUUUGACAAAUCUCCAGUAGGUAUGUAUAACUAAUCUGGCACAAGCUCUGGAAGAUGUCCAUUGUACUUCAAGAAUAAACAUUCGUUUCAGGAAUAUAUUUGGUUUGAGACUCCGGAUUUGUUGAUCCAGCAGUUCACAGAUUAGUGUUACCCAAAUUCGAAGUCAAGAGGAAAAAUGCGUGGUUUCUGAAUUUCAAUUUUUUUUAUUGACAGUUAAAUAAAAAAUAUUUAUUACCUUUUAAAAAUGUAUGUAGGAGUGUUGUAAACACUGCUUUACAGAACAAGAUAAGUCCUGAAAAGUAAUAUUACUAAGCAAAUGAAUGAAUGAUGGGUUUCCUAUCCUCUACUCUGAUACAUAUCAAUAGAGGACCACAACAAAGAAUGGCUUCAAUUGACAACAUACCUUGAACAUUAUUGUACUUGCAAUAAUGGUCAAAGUGGUGAACAUUACAUAAUAUACUGGAGAAACAAUUGUAGCAUUGAAUGUAUCCAAUGCCUAUCAAAAUAAUGCAUAAAUGUUAGAAAAUACUUCAAACACCCCAAAAAGUUUUAUGUGAAUGAUCCUGAAAUAUCAUGCAUAUUGCUAAAUUGCAAAACCAAAAUUUCGGCUUAUAAUAUGCACUUAUCAUUGACUGGAUAAUGCAAAACAGUUUCAUGUGUUUUAUCCAAAAUACUGAGAUACUACAUAUCUGUAUUUUCUGUGUAUGCUAGUGUAUAAUUCUUAUUAGUAUGCUUGGAUUGUGAGUAUUUUGUGCACAGGACACACUAAUUAUGCUAUUGUAUAAUUCUCUUUGCCCUGUGUUGUUUUGCAUAUCUGUAUUAUCUGUUUGCUUUUUUCUAAUAGAAUUUUUGUUUAUUUGGCAUGUUGACGUGAUAAUGUAUUACUUGAGGAAAAAAAUCAAAGAAAAGUGUUGUGAAACCUAUUACAUACACCACUAUUGAUGUCUUCUUUGUUAAAUGGAUACGUUCAAUUCAUCAACAAUGGUUGAGUUUGAAUGAAGAAAUGAGGUGUAUCACUACAGAACACCAUGUUAGCCAGUACAUUAGGGGUUACAAACUACUUGCCAAUGUUUUCUGAGCUUUUGUUGAUAAUAUCAUCAUCCCUGUGAAUGUUAGUGAGUCAUUUCAUUAGAUAUUGGUUGUUUUCUGUAUUAGACAUAGGUGUCUAUAUGUUUAUGAUUCAAUGAUAGGAGGUGCUGUCCAUUCAAAGAAUAUUUCAGAUCAUGUUCAAUCUCUUUCUACCAUGAUACUUAUGUUCUUGGUUGCCACUGAUUUUUACGGGAAAUGUUCGGAUAUUGACUGGCAUCGGAAAGCUAUAUACAUUGAUAAAUCACUGAGUGAACUUUUGGAGUAUGUCAUUUUGAAGGAUACACCACAGCAGGGACCUUAAUCUAAGUAAGUUACAUUUAAAGUGUAUUUGUAUUUAUAUUAAUAUCUAUGUUUCUUUAUAAGUGACUUUUCUGAUUUUCUAUUUUACAGUGACUGUAGUAUGUUUGUAUGUGCCUUUGCUGAGUACAUUAGUCAUGGCAUGUUUGAUAUCUCCAGUAGAAUAUUUAGUGUUGUCAACCAUCGACUCAGAUAUGGUGCACUACUAUGGGAUUAUGCCAGACGAAAGCAGAAUGAUGGAGCAAUCAGUGAAAGUGAGGCAACUAGAAAUGUUAAAAGCAAGCAUGGUGGUUUCAAAAGAUCUAGGGAGCAGUUUGGAAGUUCAAGGACACAAUAAUACCAGUCACAAAAUAUUAUAACAAUAGUUGUUCUUAUUUAGUUCUUGUGUUUUUUGACGGAUGUUUUGAUAUUUGAAAGUAGUAGGAUCUUUUCUACUUGUUACCAAGAUACCCAGAAUUUUUUUUGUUAUUCUAUAUUAAUUUUUGGUUCCUUUUGGUUGAACUUUAUUGAUAUGAUGAAGUAAAGCAACAGUGAUUUUAGUUGGGGAAGUUCUUGUGCUUGUAUUAGUUCUUAUAGAUUAUAUAAUUUUUAACCCAAUUUGAUACUUGCAUUUGUUGCAUUCAGCUAUUAUACAUGGUAUUUCUUGACAUGCAGAGUCCUAUUCAAGUGCAGAGUCGCAUUCAAGUCUUACAUUUCUUGACGUUUAUUAUGAUAAUUUCACAUCCUUUAGCAUUAGUCAAGACCGUAGCAGUCCUCUUUCUUCUGUAGAUGAAUAUUUUAAAAAAAGACGGAGCACAUCAUCAUGCUAUGAAUAUUAGCUUUUAAUUAAUUUAUAAAAUGUUGGCAAUUUUUCAUUUGUAUAGUUCAAAAAGAAGCACCCAUAUUCUUGUGUAUUAUACGUCUGAUCCAAUAUGAUUUAUAUACAAUGCAUAAGUGACCUACCUGUUUAUUUUUUCUUAUCUCUAUCUUUGAACUUUACAUGUAUUCAAAUAUGAUUCUACAGAUUGUAAGCUAUUAGGCAAACUAGGAUGUACAAUAUCUAUCACUAUCUUACAUGGGUAGGAGUCCUAAUUUGUAUAUUUGUCUCACACAUCUAACGUGCUAGGACUAAUUUUUUUUUCAUUAUUUCUCUAGCUUUCAGCACCACAAUACAAUUAUGAAGAAUCGUUGUUUUGAUGACAUAGUAUUCGGGGUCCUCACAUAGUAUUCGUUGGUUUGUUAGUGAAAAUACCAUGAAAAUAAAACAUUGUUUGUUAUUGAUUCAAAUACCUGCAUACCAGGUGGUGCAUGUUUGUGGCAAGUCCUUUUAUUGUGCCCCUCACGAUGAUAGUCACUACAUGUAAUCUUUGAACGUUUACACUUGUCUUUAUUUGGUGCUUUCCAUCUUUUAUAACAUGGUCUUUCGGGAGGUCAUUUUGAAUCAAGUGGCAAUACAACUUCAUCCAACACUUCACGUGGUAUUUUCCAUGUACUUUCACAAGGAAGAAGUUCAACUGGUAUGGCAUAAACAUCUCUGAAAUUUUUGUUGUUGUAGUAAGGUGAGCAAUAAUUCUCGCCAUGUUGGUUUCUAUACGUAAUAGCAGCCAUGGCAUGAGAGCAGGGUAUUUCGUCCAAUUAAAAUUCUCCACAGUUGCAUUUUCUGCUUCGCAAACAAUCAAUAAAUCCUUUUGCUCCAUAACUAACAGUAUGUAGGAAUUCAUUUGAUGCUUUUACCUGCAUUCAAAAGCAACUUUAAUACACAAACCAAUUAACGAAAAAUUUAAGUCAUGUAAAAAGUAAUAGAUAAAGGACUUACUAUCAUUCUCUGAGAAAGCAAAUGAUUAUUUAUCAAAAUAUCAUUAUAUUUGACUAUCAUCUCUGUUAACGUGUUUGUUGCCUCCUCAUGCUUUUUUGUAUUCCAUGAUUCAAUCAUUUACCUCAUAAAAUUCAUUGUUGAAACCACAGGUAAUCUUCUAGCUAUUCUGUUGGUGUUGUUGAUGGAUUCUGCUAUGUUUGAUGUUAUUGUCCAAGUCCAUUUGACAAUAGAAUGAACCCUUGCCCAUUUAUGGUAGCCACUUUGGAAUAAAUACCUCCUACCUGUCUUAUCUAUUUGGUCCACCCUUCCCAUUAACUCUUCAAAUUGUUGUAGAGUAUAUGCUUUUGCCAUUACAAAAAAAAGUUUAUGCAAUUCUUCAAGAUUCUUACGAAAGUUUACCUUUAUGUUGCACCACAAAUGCCAAAUACAAGCAUGAUGUGACAGAUUUGGAUAUACUGUGGAUGUUGUCUUUCAAAUACUUUCAUCUCUAUCGGACAGUAUACAUAUACCUUCUCUUUCCCCAAAUGCAAUCUAAAUUUAUCAAAAACCAAGUCCAAGAUGCAAUAUUUUCUUAAUCAACCACAACAUAAGCAAGGGGUAGUAUAUGACCUACAAUCAUAACAUACUUCAUAUAAUAUACUGGUUGAUUACUUUUUAGCAAGACAAACAAAAUACAUACAUAUGACAUACCAAUAUUAUACAAUACCUUAACAUUCUGAUAUGAUUUCCAUUUCAAAAAAAAAUAAAUUUAAAAAUAAGUUUUACCUCCUAGGUCCAAUAUGCUUGCAGUCAGCAUAGUUCCACCGUAAAGCCACUUUAGAACUGCUCCAUCGACUACAACAAUUGGCCUGCAAUAUUUUCAUCCACGAAUUGAAGCGUCCAAUGCAACAAAAGCAUACAAGAAUCUAUUUUCAUCGGUUUUCUCCAAGCUAACAAUAAAUCUAGGAUAAUGCUUUUUCAACAUAUAUAAAUAACCUGGUAUCUUUUGAUAUGACUCAGUAGGAUCACCGCGCAACAUUUUAACUUCUUUGAUUUUUGCACGCCAUGCUUGAUGAUAAUCUAGUGAAAUCACAUGCUCCCUCACCAUGUUAGAAACAAUAUCGUUUGGAGUGUCUAUUCUUUUGGUGUCCACAUAAUUACCUAAGAUCAGUCAGGCUACCACUUUUGUCAUCCCUUGACGCCUUGCAUAAACUUGAUCAUUUAUUGAGCAUGUAUGAAUGUCACAAUACUUUCUUAUCUUAAAAAUCUUUGAUUUGUUAAUUCUGGAAGAACAAAGAAACCAAGUACAGUCCUCCACCACACAAACCAAAUAGUAGCUGUUAAAUUAAAAAAAAUAUUGUAUUAACAUACAAGUAUAAUAACCGAUUUAAUACAGAAAAAACACAAACAUUUUUACUGGCUUCCACUUGACCUUUCAGUUUGAUAAGAGAACUGUUUCAUAAAUACGUGCAACUCCAUGACAUUAGUCAGUGUUUGUUUUACAACUAUGUUGAUAUUCGUUACAUCACAAAUUAUAUCCACACGUUCUUCUUCAAAUUCUUCUAAAUCUGGACUUAUCCCGAUCAAACAAACACAAUCUUUUGAAAAUAGCUUUCACCUUUGUUCAUGCUUUUCGUUAGAAUACUGUUACCCAACACAAACAAUUGCUCUUUCAAUUUGGUGAAUUACACCGUCCGAUUUAUCCAAAGUUGUAAUGUACAAUGGAUAUUUUAAGAAGAAAUCAGCAACCGUUUUCUUCUAUUCCAGAUACACCUGUACACUUGUAUUAUUGUGUAUGACCAUAGUUGGACAUCUAUCACUUAUUAUGUAUCGUAUUUCAAGUUUAUUUGCAGAUGUGUCUAUCAUCAGUUGUGUUGCAAUUGCUUCUAUUAAUCUUUUGUACUUUGUUGUUACAUCAUACAUUAUCCCAUCAAUUCCAAAGUCCCUCGCUAUUUUUGUUUAUACAAUAAUUUUAGUUUUCAUGCAAUUGAUAAACGUCCAAAAUUCAGUAAUGUAACAACGGAUAAUUGAAGAAACAAAAAAAAUAUUUAAAUUCAUUUAGAAGGCAUAAAAAAAAGUUAACAAACCUAACGAAUCCUAUCUCCCUCCAUGACGUAUCAUGAUUGAAUGCAAAUUAAAAGAAUUCAUAUUUGUUAUCUAAAAAAAUACUUGUUCUUGCUUUUCUUUCAAAUUAUAAUCAACAUCGCUUACUUAGAAUGCGUUUUUUGUUUACUGGAAGACAGAAAUCGUGUACAAAGAGUAAGGUAGUGUAUGAAGAUGAAAACUCUUAAUGCAAGCAUUAAAAUAGAAAGAAAAAUAAUGGUUAAACGGAUUUGAGGGUGGAUAAAUAUCAAUAAUUAAGGUUAACUACUUUUAAGGAAGGUAAAUUGUAUAUUAAUUGUAUUAAAUCUUAAUUAUCCUUUUUCAUCAAUUACUUUAUUGUAUUUUCAACAAAACAAAAAAAAGCUUUUUUUGUAUAUUUUUUUAAGAUGAGAGUUGUUAUAACUUGAAAACUUAAAAAUUUUGCUAUAACUUGUAAUAACUAAUCUAAUAAGUUUAUAUAGUUAAUUUUUCCCUUUCACUUUUACAUAGUACAAGUGUAUUAAGUCGUAACAAUGUUUGUGUGUAAAAUAACUUUUUGGGACAAGUUCCGAAUGGAUUUAAUGAUUUUUUACAACAAUUACUCUCAAAAAUAGACCCAAAUUAGGGUGACUUUCAAAUUUUAGCCCCAAAUAAAAAAACUUCCUUAAAAUAGCCUUUACCUAUUAACUAGUAUUUUUUUGAAUAAAAUUGUCCCUGAUCAAUAGAGUAAAUUACAUAAAUGAUCCUCAUAAUGGAUAACAAUUCCAUAUUUAUAUCUUUCAACUUUUAUUUUUUUCUCUUUUUAAUUUCACUUUGAUUUUUAUUUUUUAUUUUCUCUUUUUAUUUUAAAUUUUUUCAACCCUUACUUUUUUCCUCUCAACUUCUUUUUUUUUUCUUUUUUCUUUUAUAUUAUUUUUCUUUUUUAUUUUUUCUUUCCUCUUUUUUUUUGUUCUUCUUAGUUUUUCUCAACCCUAACUUUUUUUCUUUACACCUUUCAACGUCUACUUUUAUAAACAAAAAAAAAACUUUUUUUAUUUUUCUUUGAUUUUUAUUUUUUUCUUUUAAAAUUUUUCUCAACCUUUAUUUUUAUUUAAUCUUUAUUUUUUUUAUCAAUCUUUCUUUGUUUCUUAUUCUCUCUCAACUUCUACAUUUUCUUUGAUUUUUAUUUUUUAAUAUUUUUCUUUAUUUUCUUCUUUUUUGCAAUUUUUAUUAUUUUUGUUCUGUUCUUCAAUUUCUUCCAUUCAAGUUACAUCUCCCGAGUAAGAGUUGACACUAUCACAUUAUAAAGGUAAGAUUUACGACUUUCGAACAAUAAACUACAUUUUAUGAGCAAGAGUUGACACUACUACAUUGUAGAGGCAAGAUUUAUGAGAUUUCUACAACAAUAAGCUACGUUUCAAGCAACAAAUUAUGCCCUACGGGCAAUAGUUGACUCUACCACGUUAUGUUUUUAUUUAUGAGAUUUCUACAACUAUUGCCUUAGAGGCAAGACUUAGUUCAAGGACUUUCAAACUACAAAUUAGGCCCCACAGGCAAGAGUUGACUCUACCACAUUAUGUUUUCAUUUAUGAGAUAUUCUACAACUAUUGUCUUAGAGGCAAGAUUUGGCUCAAGGACUUUCAAACAACAAAUUAUGCCCUACAGGCAAGAGUUAACUCUACUACGUUAUGUUUUCAUUUAUGAAAUGUUCUACAACUAUUGCCUUAGAGGCAAUACUUAGGAUCAAGGACUUUCAAACUACAGAUUAUGCCCCACGGGCAAGAGUUGACUCUACCACGUUAUGUUUUUAUUUAUGAGAUGUUCUACAACUAUUGCCUUAGAAGCAAGACUUAGAUCAAGGACUUUCAAACUACAGAUUAUGCCCCACGGGCAAGAGUUGACUCUACCACGUUAUGUUUUUAUUUAUGAGAUGUUCUACAACUAUUGCCUUAGAGGCAAGACUUAGCUCAAGGACUUUCAAACAACAAAUUAUGCCCCACGGACAAGAGUUGACUCUACCAUAUUAUAUUUUUAUUUAUGAGAUGUUCUAUAACUAUUGCCUUAGAGACAAGACUUAGCUCAAGGACUUUCAUACUUUCAAACUACAAAUUAUGCCCCAUGGGCAAGAGUUAACUCUACCACGUUAUAUUUUCAUUUAUGAGAUGUUUUAUAACUAUUGCUUUAGAGGCAAGACUUGGUUCAAGGACUUUCAAACUACAAAUUAUGCUCCACGGGCAAGAGUUAACUCUACCACGUUAUAUUUUCAUUUAUGAGAUAUUCUACAACUAUUGCCUUAGAUGCAUUUCACUCAAGGACUUUCAAACUACAAAUUAUGCCCCACGGGCAAGAGUUGACUUUACCACGUUAUGUUUUCAUUUAUGAGAUGUUCUACAACUAUUGCCUUAGAUGCAUUUCACUCAAGGACUUUUAAACUACAAAUUAUGCCCCACGGGCAAGAGUUGACUUUACCACGUUAUGUUUUCAUUUAUGAGAUGUUCUACAACUAUUGCCUUAGAGGUAAGACUUAACUCAAGGACUUUCAAACUACAAAUUAUAUCCCACGGACAAGAGUUGACACUACCACGUUAUGUCUUUAUUUAUGAGAUGUUCUACAACUCUUGCCUUAGAGGCAAGACUUAAUUCAAGAACUUUCAAAUAAUAAAUUAUGCUUUAUGGGUAAGAGUUGACACUACCAGUUAUGUCUUCAUUUAUGGGAUGUUCUACAACUCUUGCCUUAGAGACAAGACUUUGCUCAAGGACUUUCAAAUAAUAAAUUAUGCCUCACGGACAAGAGUUGACACUACCACAUUAUGUCUUUAUUUNNNNNNNNNNNNNNNNNNNNNNNNNNNNNNNNNNNNNNNNNNNNNNNNNNNNNNNNNNNNNNNNNNNNNNNNNNNNNNNNNNNNNNNNNNNNNNNNNNNNNNUUCUUUGUAGAUUAUUCAAUUUUUUAUUUAUUAGCAAAAUAUAAUAGAAGUUGAGAAAACAGAAAAAAACGAUCAAACAAAAUAGAGAAAUAAAAAAAAUGAUGAAAAAAAGGAAAGAAAAAACAUAAAGAUCAAGAAAAAAAAUGAAGAAUUAAAAAAAUUAAGAAAAAUAAAAAUGAGAGGAAAAAUAAAAAUAAAGUUUGAAAAAAAUGAGGAAAAAAAAAGAACUGAAAAAACAAAAAAAUGAUCAAACAAAAUAGAGAAAUAAAAAAGAGUGAAAAAAAAGGCAAGAAAAAAAUAAAGAUUAAGAAAAAAGCGAAGAAUUAAAAAAAUUGAGAAAAUAAAAAAUGAGAGGAAAGAAUAUAAAUAAAGUUUGAGAAAAAUAAGGAAAAAAAUGGAGAACUGAUAAAAAUAAAAAAUAAAUGAAAAAUAAAAGUUAAACAUAAAUGAAUUAAAAAAAGGAAAAGAAAAAAGAAAUAGAUAAUGCUUGAGAAAAAAUAAAAAAGAGAAAAAAAUAAAGUUUGAGACAACGAAUUAAAACAUGACAAUAAAAUUAAAGGAAAAAAAUAAAAAGUUAAAAUAAAAAAAUUAAAGAAAAAAAGUGAAAAUAAUAAAAAAUAGAAUAAUAAAUUAAAGAAAAAAAUAAAAAGUGAAAAUAAUAAAAUAUAAAAUUUGAGAGACAAAUAAGUAUGAAAAGUCUUAAAAAUAUAUUUGAUGCGUAAAGGGGUAAAAUGAUAUUUGUACAAUACUUAAAAAGUAAGGGAGGUUAUUCUUUAAAAAUAUUUUUUAUUGGGGUCAAAUAUCUAAGCCACCUAUAUUUAAAUCUAUGACAUGCAAUUUCCUGACUAUUCUUUUUCAUGUUGCUGGAAGCAACUUGGAUAGUACUUCCACAUGAUCCAAGAUUAAGAGACCAACUAACAAAGCCAUUAGUCGUCAAAAAACUUACAUAUUUUUUUCUCUCUUUCACCCAUGCGGUAUCACAAGCCUAUGGCAACUAAGCCGAAUUCAAAAAGAAAUUACUCCAUUUCUCGCUAAUACAAAAAGCGUCUAGUGAAACGUUGAAGAAUCAUGGCUUUACGCCUAUUUAAGCAUUAACACCAACACACUGUUGCCUUUUCAUUAACACAAUAAUGGUAACACUAGUUCACUUAUCACUUGCACAACUACACCGAGUAUUUUCAAAAUACUGGAGCCAGCAGAUCCUUCAAAUUUACACUCCAAGAAAGUUGAUUAGUAUACAACUACUGUUCACUUACAGGAUUCUCAAGGCGUUUCCCUGAAUAAUGCACCUUCUGCUUCUCCAAACCAAAUAUAAAUUGCAGUUGUCAUUUCUCAAUUUCCCAGUCAAACAUCGCACUGAGAUUGAGCUAUUCAACAGUUUAAUCACAACUUAGCUUCCUACAACUGAGAGUACAAAGUUUAUCAGCAACUUACAGCCAAAAAAGACAUGAAAAAGAUUAACCAAAGUAAUGGUGGGAGGUACAGUAAUAGAACCAGCAGAAAAUGACAAAGUAUAAAUUUAAUUCUAGAAAGGAAACUGCAGAAUGCUCUAUCAGAACUCCUAAGUUUCAGUAGUAUAAUUAUAAUAGGUUAAGCGCCAUCACAACACCACAAAUUUUGAGAUUGAAAUAUUUUACAACCAAAACCCAGUUAGCUAUGCAAGAGUGGGUACCUUAAAGUCUUGACUAUAAACUAUCUUAAAUUUACUGAUAUCAAGUCAAAUACCUAUUUCAUCUCAUCCCUGUUUCCUUCAAAGGAUGUGCUCAUUGUUGUCAAUGAAUAGAUAAAUAAAAGCAGAGCCUGAUACUCACAGGCUUCACAAAACCCAGAUAAACAAAUACCCUGCAUUACCCUAAGGGGUAGUUUGGGAGAAUGUAUUAGAGAAUCUAAUACAUGUAUUAGCCAUUGUAUUAUUUUAAUCCUUUGGUAGGAUUUUAAGCCUAUGUAUAACUAAUAUAUAGCAAACCAAUGCACUAGCAAUAAAUGGGCUACUAAUACAUGGAUAAAGACAAAAUUGCUCUUUAUACACCAAACCAAAAAAGGUUAGAAAAUAGUCCCAGCAUAACUAAUCCCAGUAUAACUAAUUCGAACAUUACUAAUCCCGGUAAUCCUAAUACACUCUAUUCAGUACUAUACCUAUACACUACCAACUGACCCCUAAGUAGAUAAGAAUUACUAACCGAUAGGCUUAAAAUAAGAAAAUAUAUAUGAUACUAAUUUUUUCUACAAAAUAGUAUAAGUAUUCUGCAUGAUCUUUUAUAUCCUAGCCAUUGCAUCGGCAUUGCUGACAGGCAUACCUUUACAAUGGCAUCCGGUUUAGGAUUCUCAGCAGAAUUCUUUAAACAAUCUGAUGCAGUUGUAACUAGAUGUUUGCGAUGAGAGGCUCAAGAGUCAAUUGAUCACUCUCUCUCUGAAUCGCGGAUUUCUUUUUAAGAGAGAGAGGAUGCAGAAGAUAUCGUGCAACACGGCUCAAGGGAUCCUGUAAACCUUCCAUCUCAUAGUGCCCAAACCCCAAAUCUCUUUUUAUAUAAGGUCUCCAUGUGGGUUCAUCAAGGCCUCCUGAGAAAGAGCAACAAUAGGCAAUUCAUAGUACAGCUAAAAAGGGAGGGCAAAAACAACUGUGGAAACAGGCGUUUUACAAUACUUAUCAUUGAGGACAGAAAGAAACAAUUUGUUCCAUUCUGCAGGUGCCAUGCUUGUGGUAUAGUCUGCUAAGGUAUUAAGGCAAUUAAAGUGUCCUUUCCCUAAGCUAACCUCUUUCACCAACCACAGCAAAAAGGCUAGAGAAAGGUCAAUGACGAGAUUAAAUCAUGAGUAAAGCCAUUUGUCUUGUAAAAUAUUCUCCAGCAAGAGUACAACAUCACAUGAGAGUUAUUUAUGGCAAGACCAACAGGCAAAUAGAUAACUAUAGAGCAGUGGCACCAAAUUGGCAUCUGGAACAAUCCAACGUGGCGUAACUCUUUUUAGAUUCAGAAAUGCAGUAUUUAAACUCUAGAUCUAAAUUUGGCCCAAGUAUCACCUUUAUCCAUCUAUCCAAGGGGAUAUGGAUAAAAGUUUUGAUUAAAACCUUGAAUUGUCUGAAACCUGUUUCAGGUCAAACUUAGGCUUGACAAUCCUGUAUUACCUGCAUACAUUAAGCGAUAUUUAUUCACUGAUCGAUAGAAUGGUCUCCUUUUUCCAUCUUUAGCAGCGGUUUGGAGCUCACCCCACACCUUUUCCCUGUCUUCCCGCAUUAUUUUUCCAGAUUCUACAACCUGAAAAUCAAGAUGUCAGCAAAAUUAUCAAGAAGAAUAAGAAAAGGAGAUAUCAGAAAGAAGGAUACCUUUGAAAACAAAUAGUACGAAGGACAAAGAAUCCGAGCGAGAUUAUUGGCACGAUCAACUGCUACAAGUCCAAACUUGGGACCAUACCCAUCUGCCCACUCCCAGUUAUCAGAGAUCGUCCAAAACAAGUAACCAAGUACACGAACACCCUGGAUAUAAUAAAAAGAUGCACGUCCACAUUACCCAUCAAAUACAACUGGUGAAAUUUUGGAUAUACUAAAAAACAGUCACAUGAGAAAAAACCAUUAUCAUGGCUGCAUAAGUUGCAAGUAGAUGUUCCAACAAGUAUGGUUGUCUAAUCAAGUCUGUUCCAUCAGAAACACCAUUUUCAGUUAUUACAAAUGGAAGAUCAAGAUGUUUGUAUCUUUCAUCAAAUUGGAGCAAGACACGGAACAAGCCAUCAGGAUAGACACCACGCCCAGAUUCACUGUACUCAUCUGUCUCCACUAGUUUCAAUCCUGCACCACAAAUGACUUCCUGCUCAAGUCAAAGAAGCGCAGACGAGCUUAAUGUCAAAAGAUGAGGCAAUAAACAAAAGUUUUCUGUUUGAACUUUGUCCAGACAAUCCAAUACCUGUCCAUAAUAAGUGAUCCCAAUUCAUCUUGUCAGAAAUACUAUCCAGAAAAGGAAAAAGGGUCAUCGAAUUGGCGACUGAAACAGCAGCAACGUCAAACAGUCCAUAUGGAUGCAUAAAUGAGACAUGGUGAGCUACUCCAACAACGGCACUCGAUGGUUUGCUGAGUAGCAUCAGUCCACAACAAUCAAAAUAAAUCAAGACUGAUGAAGGACAAAAGAAAAUCAAAAUAGAAUGAAAUUAUACUAGAUUAAAAUGUUUCAAAUGAUCACAUGUACAAGGUCGCUGCUAGCUUAAGUUCAACUAUGCAGAAAUAGGACUCAGUUUCCUAACAAAGUUCCAAGAUGUAAAUGAAUAAGUGAAACUGCAGCUUUAGAAAGCAUGACAUUGCAACUCUAAGUCAACUAUGCUGAAAUAGGACUCAGUUUCCUAACAAAGUUCCAAGAUGUAAAUGAAUAAGUGAGACUGCAGCUUUAGAAAGCAUGACAUUGCAACUCUAUGUAUGCCAAAAAAUUCAAGUUCCCAUGUGGUUUGCUUUCGGAAGCUACCGGCAUGGUUUCUAACAAUCUAUUACUUGAAGUAGGGAAAUAUUGCUUUCAACAUAGAAUAUGCAACCUUGUAUCCACUUGCUAAAACAUUUAGAAUCAUAUUUACACAAGUACCAGAAAGAACCUUCACAUAUUUGCCACAAAAAUGUUAUGUUCCCUCAAAUUGAAGACUUAGUAGCAGACUUCUCUGUCGCGAAAAUACAUCACCUAAAAGGCAUCCCUAGAAUUUGAAUUGAUGUUGUGCCAACACUUGAGUAGUUCACUAUUUCAGUUGUCCAACUCAAUAGUCCUGGCAUACAUUCUUGUAGAUCAUAUUCCACCAAGGCUUGGACAAAUGGGAACAAAUCACCUAGUGUUCUGGGAUUUGAACCUGAGACUCAUGGUUCCCAACCCACUUCAUCGAUUACUAGGCCAAACCCUUGGUGCUAGGUUUUUACUUUUCAUUGAUGAGCUU
rnacentral:lncRNA from 1 species